rnacentral:lncRNA from 1 species
GGGUACACUGGGAGGACGGCGGGGCGCCCCGGUCAGGCCGUUUUUUUCCCCAAAGAGCCCCCAGUGGGGAGGGGAGGAGUGGCCAGCUGUCAACUGGAUUCCACAGGCUGAGCUCCCCAGGACCCUCGGGCUUCGGGAGUGAGGAGGACCCCACGCCAGGAUACACACAGCUACCCACCCCUACUUCGCUCUUCCUGCUACCUAUGUGCCCAGGGUCCCGCGUGUGGCUGGAGGGUAGAGUCAGGAAGGCCAGCGGGUGGUCUGUGGCCUCUGACAGCAGCAGGUGGUUUCUCUCCUUUUUCCUUAUUAGCAACAGAGGCUGCCCAACAAAGAGUAGGCAGAAAUGAUCAAGGACGACCUGGCCUGGGGAUAGUGCAGGCCCCGAUAGACAAUAGAGUUCCCUGAAGGGUUGCUUUCCUCUCAUAUAGUCUCAGACUCCAUCCAUCCCGUGAGGAGGGCAGAUGGGGGAAGAGGGACUCCAGACUUCAUUCUGGCUCACCGUUCCCCAUUUAGGGUCUUCCCUUCUCCCCACUUAAGAUGAAGAAGGAGUCCGUGUUUGUUCCGUAGCGUGUCUCCGUACACCACCAGGGGAAUCCCCCUUCUGACACUUUCAGAAACUUUGCGCCCCCUGAACAGCGUCCGUCCUCGUGCUACCAGCUGGACCCCAAGUUUUUCCAGCGCUAAUUAAAUCGAGGAUGAUCACGCUCUUCCCUCAUUGCUGCAGUGGUUUCCCCAAAGUUUCCAGCUCAUUAGUUUAAGCCUAAUUGGAAUUCUCAGGUUCCUUUCAGCUCUUCCCAUGGAAAAGGCCCAAGUUAGCAUCCUUAGCUUUACACCUGAGGCUGUCUCCGUGAGAGUCAGAUCAGCCCUGCCCUUGUCCUUGGAGGUCUCUGGAAGGAAGAGCGAGCAAGGGAGGCUGAGCUGGGCAGAGAGGCUGAAGAGGAUGUUUGAAGCUUCUCUCUUGCUUGAUUCGGAAUACAUUCAUUGGGUUUAGAGUACACAUCCACUAAGAAAGAGUCAAGGCCAAAGUCAAAGGAGAAAAUGGAAUGAGGUAAGAGUUCUUGAGUAUUUGGUUCUCAAAAAGAAGUGUAUGUAAAAGGGAGCUGCAGAAAGUGUGCUCCAGAAAAUGGAAUUGUCUGAGCCUCCUCUCCAUACCAUCCCAUAGUACCUCCAACCUCGGCCUCUGUGUUCAGCCACUCUGAAUGCAUCCCUGCCACACCAGACCCAAGCAUGCAAAGGCCCUGGGCCUUUUCUGGUACUGGGUUGGGGGAGCGGGACCCAGAAGUGCUGUGGGGAUGCGCAGGAAGGUGACUAUGGCAUUGAGGUUCCUUUAUUAGCCUCUCAAUGGCUGUAGUUUGCUGCUUUUGUGCCUCAGCAAUGCCAAGAAAGUUAAGGACAUUCCUUAAAUCAAGGCCAAGAUUUGAAAUUUAAAAAUAAAACACCCAGAACAUAAAAAGGGCAGCAAAGGAUAGGACUGUCUCCCCAGUGGGAUAUGAAACCUCCAGAAUGGAUUCCCUCACCCACAAAAUUGAAAUUUUGCAAACCAGCAAAUCCCCUCUGGGGCCUUCUUAGACAUUCCCUACAGCCUGGAUUCCCCUGAAAUGCCAGUCUGGGGUCUACUGGUAAGCAGCCGAUGGCCGUGACUUCUGUCACCCCAACUGCAGGAUCUAUAGCUUUUUCUCCUCCAUCAUCACCUUCAUCACCUCAGCAUCUUUGGAGAGGGUGCUUGGAGGCCCCUCAGAUGCCAUCUCCUGCUCUCUUCAUCACCCCUGCCUCUGCUGAUUGAAGCUUUUAGCAACUUCUGUGCUGUCCAAAGCCUCGGCUUAGUCAGGAAUCAUCAGAAACUCUCAGUGUUGAUGUCAAUAUCCUUUCCUUCCUACAAUCCCCAGUCUCUCACCUCCUCCCUGAAUGGCCUGGCUGGUAAGCACUGAGAGAGUGCUACCAUCCACCAGAAAUAGACAUUCCCAGGCCUUUGCCCAGUUCUCUCUGGCCAUUUCCACAUUGUUCACAAACUUUUGCACCACUUCCAGAAAACUUGGCCCCUGGCAUUACAAAUUUAGGAAAAGGCUCUGCACAGACAGAACCUCAAACUUAAAAGGAACCUUAGGUAUCUUUGAUUUGAUGUGUUUCUUCAUUUAUACAAUCAAAAUAAAGCCAGAAACUUCCCUGCCUACCUCGAAGGGUUAUAUGUGAGGAUGAAAAAGAAGGCUGGGCAUGGUAGCUCACUCCUGUAAUCCCAGCACUUUGGGAGGCUGAGGCGGUGGGAUCACCUGAGGUCAGGAGUUCAAGACCAGCCUGGCAAACGUGGUGAAACCCCAUCUCUACUAAUAAUACAAAAAUUAACUGGGCAUGGUGGCACAUGUCUGUAAUCCCAGCUACUCGGGAGGCUGAGGUAUAAGAAUCGCUUGAACUCGGGAGGCGGAGGUUGCAGUGAGCCGAAAUUGCACCACUGCACUCCAGUCUGGAUGACAGAGUGAAACUGUCAGAAAGAAGAAAGAAAGAAAAGAAAGAAAAAAGAAAAAGGAAGGAAGGAAAUAUUAUACAGAUCUUAACUAUAAUUACUGUGACCCCAAAAAUGGACAGGCAAGUCUAACCAGAUCUUCUGACCCCUGAGCUCGUAAUUGUAUGUGCACAUGCCUGCAUGUCAUGCUGUCCACAGCAUGUCCACAGCCAGACUGUGGCCAGACUCCAGGGCACAGCAGAGCCCCUCCAGCCUAAAUGAGCUCUCUGACUACCCAACACCACUCCUUUUCUUGCCAGUCCCUGGACAGCCUUGGAAAUGGGAAAGGUAUAGAGAAGCACUCUAAGCCCAGCACAUCUUCCCCUAAUGUAGGUGUGUCUGCAGGCUGGAAAUUGAGGUCCAUUGCACAAGAACUGAAAGUCUCAACAGAAGUAGAAACUUCACCCUCUGUUCUGAAAACACCACGAGCCUUAUUUUUAUUUCUAAAUUCAUUCAAAAGCUUCCCAGAGAGAAGGGCAGCCUCUGUACCAUGUGCAUGUGUGUCUAUGGCAGCUCUCAAAGCAAAUCAGAGGUUUCAAGCUUAAAUAUUCUAAUCUGAACAGUCCUAACUGAUUUAAAAGAAGUAAAAGGAAGUGCAUAAACAUACAUACUAAAAAAGCAGAGUGACUAAGGUAAAAGGAGAACAAAAAAGAUUAUUUGCUAAAAUGUUGGCCAGCAUCGCAAUUAAUGUGCAAUGGAUUUUCUUUUCCUCCAACCUGGACCUAGUUCCAAUACUCUGACAUCAAUCUUCGCGAUUUUGCGAUGGAGAAGCCAGGUGGUGACUCUUUAAAUGAUCUAGCGCCCUCUGGUGGAUUUUCCUGGCACAUGACAUUAUUUCAUGAAUGUUCAAAAAAGGGACUUAAUUUAACAGUCUGAAAUUUGAGAUAUGAAAAUUCCAAGAGGAAAACCCUGCUGGAAAAAAAAAACUACAGGGAGUAGGAAGGAGGCAUGGAUCAGGAAGAUGUUGGUCCAAGGAUACAAAAAUUCAGUUAUACAGGAGGAAUAAUUUCAAGAGAUCUAAUUGUGCAACAUGGUGACUACUGUGGAUAAACAAUGUUUUUUUGUAUACUUGAAAACCACUGAGAGAUUUUAAGUCUUCUCAUCACAGGUAAAUGAUAAGUAUGUGAGGUAAUACAUGUGUUAAUUUACUUAAGUUAGCCAUUCCACAAUGUAUGUGUAUUUUGAAACAUCAUGUACACCAUAAACACACUUUUUGUCACUUAAAAAAAUAAGAAAAAUUGAUAAAAAAACAACAAAACCCUACAGCUUCAACAGUAUGAAUUAUCUAGUUACCAGUCCUACCAGCAUAUAAGCUGUUGUGGAUAAAGGCAGCUAACAAAGUUCAUGUUAUUACUAUGACUUGAUGUCAGAUCUCAACUGUUACUGCCACCAGUAACCCUGCCCUUCCUUGAAUCACCACUGUGUUUUCUUUUAAAGUCAGCAGUAUCCCUCUUUCUAACCACCCUUGGUCUUCACAGUCUCUUUGUGAAGUAAAAAAGUGCAGUAGUGGCCAGGCGCGGUGGCUCACGCCUGUAAUCCCAACACUUUGGGAGGCUGAGGCGGGCAGAUCACCUGAUGUCAGGAGUUCGAGACCAGCCUGGCCAACAUGGCAAAACCCCAUCUCCACUAAAAAUAUAAAAAUUGGCUGGGCGCGGUGGCUGACGCCUGUAAUCCCAGCACUUUGGGAGGCCAAGGCAGGUGGAUCACGAGGUCAGGAGAUCAAGACCAUCCUGGCUAACACAGUGAAACCCUGUCUCUACUAAAAAUACAAAAAAUUAGCCGGGCGUGGUGGUGGAUGCCUGUAGUCCCAGCUACUUGGGAGGCUGAGGCAGGAGAAUGGUGUGAACCCGGGAGGCAGAGCUUGCAGUGAGCCGAGAUUGCGCCACUGCACUCCAGCCUGGGCGACAGAGCGAGACUCCAUCUCAAAAAAAAAAAAAAAAAAUAGCUGGAUGUGGUGGCGCAUGCCUGUAAGCCCAGCUACUCAGGAGGCUGAGGCAGGAGAAUUGCUUGAACUGGGGAGAUGGAGGUUGCAGUGAGUCAAGAUCGCACCACUGUACUCCAACUGGCAACAGAGCGAGACUCUGUCUCAAAAAAAAAAAAAAAAAAGGCUGUAGCUAUUUUCCCACUUUACAGGUGAGAAAACUGAGGCUUAGCUCUGCCAGGUUACUUGGCACGACAAGGAAAGUCUGUUACCUCUGAAGUGAUUUAUCUGUUUGUAAUUUAUAAUGCUGGAGAGUGGGACUUACAGAACAAGCUUUCACAUGCUUACAUUUUUAUAGAUAUUUAUUUUAUAUUUACUUCUGCUUGUAAGAAUAAUUCAUAUGUAUUAUAAACUUUGGAAUAUAAAAGUUUCAUAUAAGCUUCAAGUCAGUGACAAGAAAAAAGAAUAUGUCACAUAGAAUCUUACCACCCCAAAAUAACCACUAUUAAUAUUUUUAUAUAUUUAUCUCAUACCUUUUCCUUGGGUGUGUAUUUCUGCAAAAUUAGGGUUAGAUUAAACAUCUAACUUUUAUCCUAUUUUCCCUUAACAUGAAACUGUUAGCAUUUUCUCUAAGUCAUUAAAUAUCAUGGAAAACACUAUUUUAAAAAAUGAUAAUUGGAUAACAUUUCAGUAGAUGGCAUACUCCUGGCAUUUAGAUGAUUCCAAAGUUUAAUAUGUUUUAAAAUAAAUUAUAAAACUGUGUGCAAAUGACUUCUAGUUGUCAAAAAAGAUGUCCAGAAGAUUUCCACUGACAUGCUUCCAUCCUGUCUCCAGUGCCUCGGGAGAGCAGGUGUGUGUAGGAAAGAGGUGCCUGUGGCAGUCAGUCUGGCCGUGGGAUACUUCCCAGCCCUGCCCCAGGUCACUGGCCUCAGAUCAGCCAAUUGUGAUGAAGAAGCUUUGAGCCAGGGCAUGUUACCCGCAAAGUAAUUCUCUUCUUUUCUAACACAUCAAAGCCAGUGCAUUGGAAGAAAAUAAUGCUGUGGUCUCAUCGUAUCCUCCUCAAUCAUUGCGCCACCUGCCUGCCAAGAUACAAACUUGCAAGAACAUCAUCUUCAUUCCCCAAAGGACAUCCAUGGCUAGGUCAAAGAAGGCACAGCUCAGGCACAAUGCCCUGCCUAGAAUUCACCUUUCACCACCAUUCUGCAGGAUUUCCAGAAUAACGAUUCUGCAGAUUCCUGUGUCCCUUUCCUCUCUGUGAUCAGUGUCACCCCCCAGCAGAACACCACUACUGUGGGCCUUGCCUCUGGGAGGUAGGCAGGGCAAAAAUCAGUCCACCCAUUUUUGCUAGUGGGAGAAGAAGGCACCAAAAGGAAAAAGAUUUUCCUCAGUGCUACAGAACUUGUCUUCCUGACUGACAGACCAAAAAGCUUUCUAAUCCUUUUCUUAGAGUAUUCCUGAUUUAAUCUUUGCAAAAGCUCUAGUUCAAUGCCUGGGCAGUCCAGGACUUGACUUCUUACUCCUAGUGCUCCAAAAUAAUCCAAUGACCGCAAUCUAAGGGACUGUGCAGAUGAAGCAGGGACUUACUCCUGCCUCUUCCUGGUAGCUUUUGCAAUAUUUGCAAGUAAGAACAAUGCUGAGAUCAUCCUUCCCACUUACAAACCCUCUUGGGAAUAAGGAGAGAAGUCAGGAAGUACAACAUCUCUAAGAGUUUCAUUUACUUCCAAUUCUGACUUGCUUUCCUGGUGUCUGCUUUUGUCAUAAUGUUCUCCAAAACAAGGUCCCUUUGUUUCAGGAAAAUAAGUCAUUGUACCAAAAAAAUGCAUGCACUUUUAUGUUCAUCACAGCACUAUUCACAAUGGCAAAGGCAUGGAAUCAACCUGAAUGUCUGUCGAUGGUGCACUGGAUAAAGAAAAUGUAGUAUGUGUACACAGUGGAAUACUAUGCAACCAGGAAAAAAAAUCACAUUCUUUGCAGCAACAUGGUUGCAGCUGGAGGCUGUUAUCCUAAGUGAAUUAACACAGAAAUAGAAAACCAAAUAUCCCAUGUUCUCACUUGUAAGUGGGAAUCAACUCUCGGGUUCACACAGACGUAAAGAUGAGAACAAUAGACUCACACUGGGGACUCCACAAGGAGGAGUGAGGAAGGGGAGCAAGGACUGAAAAGCUGCCUAUUGGGCACUGUGUUCACUGUCUGGAUGGUGGGAUGAAUAGAAGCACUAACCUCAGCAUCACACAAUAUACCCUUGUAACAAACCUGUACGUGUACCCUCAAAUCAAAAAUAAAAAUGGAAUUUUUUUUAAAGCCCUUUGUUUCACAGUGGCCUCCCUGGAAGGUGCAUCCCUUCUUCAGCCUUGUUAUCCCACAGUUGCCAAGCACCCUGCUUCCCAAAGAUGAUCAUUUGAUGGUUUAAAAAAUUAUAAACCAUGAUGCUUUUAUGAAAGGUAAGGCUCUUUCUGUGAAACCAGGAAAUUCUGCUUUUGCUAUAUUUUUGCAAAGAUAAACAUUUUUUUUUUUCAGAGCAGGAGUGAAAGUUUAUUUAAAAGCUUUAGAACAGUAAGGAAAGGAAGGAAAGGAAAGAGAAGAAGGAGAGUACAACUUGGAAGAUGGUCAAGUGGGCAGCUUGAGAAACCAAGUGCAUAGCUUGACCUCUUGACUUGGGGUUUCAUAUGGUUUGGCUGUGUCCCCACCCAAAUCUCCUCUUGAAUUGUAGCUCCCUCCCGUAAUUCCCACGUAUUGUGGGAAGGACCCGGUGGGAGGUAAUUGAAUCAUGAGGGUGUGUCUUUCCCAUGCUGUUCUCAUGACAGUGAAUAAGUCUUAUGAGAUCUGAUGGUUUUAUAAAGGGGAGUUCCGCCACACAAGCCCUCUUGCCUACUGCCAUGUAAGACAUGACCCUGCUCCUCAUUCGCAUUCCGCCAUGAUUGUGAGGCCUCCCCAGCCAUGUGAACUGUGAGUUCAUUAAACCUCUUUCCUUUAUAAAUUACCCAGUCUCAGGUAUGUCUUUAUUAGCAGCGUGAGAACAAACUAACACAGGGUUUUAUACUUUGGCCUACUUCCAAGAUCUUGCCUUAACCCUCCCCACUCCUGAGAUCUUAUUGGGAAGCUGCUGAUCAGUUUCAGCUGUUUUCUAUCUGUCAGGAGACUGCUGUUCCCUGGCUCUGGCUGUGACCAAUUAUUACUUUAGAGAAACAGUUAACCCCCUGACCAUCACCUGAUGGUUGCCCACCACUCCUAAGUGUGUUGUGGGGAGCCCUCUCCUGCCUUGCUCAUACCUGACUGGCUACCUACUAUAACACGUCCCCCCUCAAGAGUCCAAGAUCCUAAACCUUUGGGGGAAAAUGGAUGAAGGUCAGUCUUCUGCAACUUCUUCCUGCUGACAGAGGGGCGGUGGUGGUUCUGUGGGUCUUGGCCUCUUGCUAGCUGUCAGGGCCGACUUGGGUCCAUGAAUUGGUGAAAGCGGUAUCCAGCCAGGUCUAAGGGAGACAGGGGCAGGAUUUUGCCUCUGUCGUGUCCCACUGAUGAACAAUCUAGAGGUUCCCUUUAGAAAGGUGACUCUUGAAUAUUGAGAGGACAAUAUCUCUCACUGAGGAUCAUCUGGAGCUUGAUGUCCUUUCCCCUUAAAGAGGAACCUCAGAUCUUUCAGGGCCUUGCAAGUGUAUUGAGGAGCUGAGGGCAUUGCUUCCAACUCUGGUGUCCUGAAGCCUUUUCACGGCUUCACUCGGGUAUGUUGUAUCCAGCUGGCAAUCUCUAGUACUUUAAUGGCCCUGGGGGUAAAUAAUAAAACAGUGAAGGGGUCCUUCCAGAACAAAAACCCAAUCUAGCAGUGUCCUGCAAAAAAGCCAUAAAUACAGACCAAUAAACUGGUUUCUGGGUUCAAGAGGGAAGUUCAGUAAAGGUCCUAGUAGAAGGUGCUUACCAUAUUUCAGCAGAAUGCUGUUAGAGUCCCAGAAUGUAAGAAUCACCAUUCUAGGAAUGCUGCCUGGAGCCAGGAAGGAGAGGUAGAUCCUCACCUUUGGCUAGAAACUGAGUCUUUGAGUCUCCCACCAGGGAAAUUUCCCCAGUGGAUUUUGCGUGGACAUCUGACUAAUCCAGAAAGAGACCUGAAGGUGGGAGAGACCCUGCCAUCUUCCUGGCCAUUCUAGAAAGUCCAAACACAAAGAGAAAUGACCUCCCGUUUCUCUGAGCACUGCAGCCACUACAAUUUCGUAGCAUCCACAGAGUGCCUCGCCAGCUCUUUCUCUCUGAGGACCUCUGACAUGGGCUUAUUUAAGCGCAAACUUUAGAUGCUUCCAGAAAGAUGGCUUGCCUACAGCACUAUGCAGCUGGAACAGGGAGACUGUUAGAGGCAGACACUGCCCAGCGUGUGUCUCAGACCUCCCUUCAGAAAAAGCCUCUGUGAGCUCCAGGACACUGUGCUAAAUGCAUUUUCUGCAAGAUGCUACACUGAAUUGAAAGCGUGCAAAAACAUCCUUUUGGUUAUCUAUAAAUUUCAUUUUGUUCUUCUCUCCUAAUAACAAAAUUGAAAGCUGUAAGUUGAACAAAGCAACCUGCAAACUGCUCUAGCAGCCCUGGGAACUCCCUGGGUGAUAUAUGGUCAUGGGCUUAGAGCUUUUCAUUUGACUUGCUCUUGGCUUUUCUAUCAAGAUCUGUCUUGGUGACACUCUACUGAGAUAGAUGAGUUGGUAUGCAUAAGUGGCUUUUAUUUCAGAAGGUAAUACAUAUUCUAUUUAAAGUACAAUGACCCAGAAGGGAAUUCCAGCCCCUUUAUCAUUAGUAUAGAAAUUCAAUGGUUCAUAAUCUGGUAGCUCAUUGAAAUGACUUUUCAUUAACUUCAAUGGUUCAUAAUGUGGUGGCCCAUUGAAAUGAUGUUCCAUUAAAUUCAAUGGGGGAUAUUAUUUGAGUCAGAACCAAUUUACAAACUAAACAGAAUGCAGGCACACAUCGCACUGCCCAGAGGGCUCGCUCGGCUCUCUCUUCCCUGGGUCUUCCAUGAAGACUGGUGAGAUCAGCACUGCCUGGGAGCUGAGGUGGUAGGCAGAGAAAAAGCAUGUAGGCAGGGCAUGCCCUUCCUUCUAGGGGAAUAAUAGUUGAGGCCAGAGACCAUAAUGGGCAAUUUACAUGUCCCAAAAUUCAAUGCACAUAUUUCCCUAAUGCUUAGACCACCUUCACAAUUUUGACCAUAUCGUCAUACUGCCUUUUCAAUUACUUACUAAUAUUUGUCUUCAAUAGACUACUUUUAUUUACCUAAAUUUAUUUCAAAAGGAAAUUCUAUACCACUAUCUUCCUGGAAAACCAACAUCACUGUAAGUAGCAGGUAAAUAAAUACAGUAGUCUCUCACUUUUCUGCAGGGCAUACCUUCCCAGAACCCCUGUGGAUGCCUGAAGCCACAGAUAGCACUGAACUCUACACACAGUAUAUACAAGUUUUUCCAUCUGAUAACCGAGAACACUGCUCAGGUACUAACAGGCAGGUGGUGGGUGGUGCAUACACUGGACAAAGGAAUGAUUUAUAUCCCAGGCAGGAUGGAGCAUUUGGCAAGAGAUUUCAUCAUACUACUCAGAAUGGCAGCAGUUUAAAACUUAUGAAUUGUUUAUUUCUGGAACUUUCCAUUGAAUAUUUUUGGACUGUGGUUGACCACAGGUAACUGAAAUUGCAGAAAGCAAAACCUCAGAUAAGAGGGGGACUACUGUAAUAAUAAAAUAAAAAUAAAUAACAAAUCAAAAUAUAAAUACAUUAGAAAUAAAUAGAAGGCAAGUGUAAAAGUAAAUAUAAUAAAUGCAAACAAUGCUGUAAAAUCAGAGCUUGCUGUUUUCAGGUGAAAGCCCUCCAUCUGAAGCCUAGACUGCCUUUGCUAAAAGGAGAAAUUGGUAAGUGUUGUAGAGAUGUUCCAGGCACAAUGACCAUCUCUGUGGCAAUCAGGUUAGAGAGGGAAUUGGGCAGGGCAUGACUUUCCCACUGAGUGCCAAGACCGGAGUAUAAGCUCAAAUCAUCCUUUGUACCGCGUGGGGUCAAGCAGCCUGCCUUUUUGGAAGCACUGCUUUCCUACUCGUUUUAAUUCUUACACGAGGCUGGGCACAGUGGCUCACGCCUGUAAUCCCAGCACUUUGGGAGGCCCAGGCAGGUGGAUCACCUGAGGUCAGGAGUUCGUGACCAGCCUGGCCAACAUGGUGAAACCCCAUCUCUACUAAAAAACUACAAAAAUUAGCCAGGUGUGGUGGUAGGCACCUGUAAUCCCAGCUACUCAGGAGGUUGAAGCAGGAGAAUUGUUUGAACCCGGGAGAUGAAGGUUACAGUGAGCAAAGAUCAUGCCACUGCGCUCCAGCCUGGGCGACAGAGCAAGGCUCUGUCUCAAAAAAAAAAAACUUACACCAUCUCCUAAAGUAUCACCCCCACUAUACAGAUGUGGAAACUGAGGCUCAAGUAAGUUAAGUAAGCAACUUGUCCAAAGUCACACACAGAGUGUCCUCAAGGUCAGUGCACAGCAUUAUCAGGGGUCACUCAGCCCUCUGACCCUAUCGCCAUCUGGGCCAUUAUAAUUCUAGAAGGAAAAGCACAUUAGAGAUUUUGUCUGACUUCCUCUUUUUAGAGUGAGAAAAGUGCAGCCUAGAGGUGUUUAAUAACCUGCCCAAAGCCUCUUUGUUCCCCAGCGACUGAGCUGAGGUUAGAAUCCUUAUCUGGUGUGCUUUCUGUCCUCUCAAAGUCCACCCGGCCAGCAGAUGAGCCUGUUGGGAGCCAGGCAGGUGGUAAAGUUUCCUCACCAUCCUCCUUUCUGCUCCCAGCAGGCCUAGGAAAUCCUUUCUUGCUGACCUUUCUUUCAAAUGCUAAUCUGGGCCUCUGAGGCUGGGGUGGGGGGGUGGGAGGGGGGGCCUUUCCCCCAUUGGGAGCCCCACUGCCAGGUGAGCCCAUGGCUGUGAGUCAGCACAGAGAGCUUCAGAAGUCCCUCACUGAUGGGGGGCAUGCAGGGAGUGUGCCCCAUGGCAUCUGGGCCUUUGCAAAGCCUGUAGGGGCCGGGGUGCCCCAUUAGCCCAGGAGAUGCCCCUGCAGGAGGCUUUAAACUCAGCAGGUGCACCUCACAGCUCCUCGGUCUCAGACACAGCCUGAGGUCAAGACAGAAGCUGUGAAGAAGCUCUGUUGGGUGAGCCCUGGGGCUGCAGGCAAGCCAGGACCUUUGGAGGCCCUGGGAGGCUGGCAGGGGUGAGGGAGAAUGGCAGGUGCAGGUGCCAUACUGCACCUUUGGGAAGAGCAAAGGUGGUGGGGUGAGCGGGUCGAGUUAUGAGAAAGUUCACAGAAACAAAAGAGGGGGUAUGAGAGUAGAAGUGGGAGGACAGAGAAAGAGAAGGAAGAAAAGAAGUAAAAAAUAAAAGGAAACAGAGAGAGAAGAAAAAGAAAGAGAAGGGAGGGAGGGAAGGAAGGAAGGAAGGAAGGAAGGAAGGAAGGAAGGAAGGAAGGAAGGAAGGAAGGAAGGAAGGAAGAAGAAAUAAAUAAAUAGAGAGACCUAAGAAACAAGGCAGAGAAAGGGACAUCACCUGUCCCAGCCAGUGGCCUCUUCUGAGUUGCUCCACUUCCCUAACAAAGCACAGAGACAUUAUGCCUGUAAUAUAAGGGGGUCCAAAGUGCCCACAGUAAGAAACAAGUAUUCUCCCCUUAAAGGAAAGGCACAGGAUCCUGGUGGCAAAUUUCUGACAAGUGAGCUCCCCACCCCCAACACACACACACAGACAGACACACACACACACACAAUGGACUGUCUCCUUUCUCAGAGGGAUACAUGCUUGAGAUGCUGGGUGUACCUGCAAAGCACAGGCCUGGGAAGCCCCUCCAACACAGAUGGUCUUGUCUUAUAAGUGUCAGGGUUUGUGCCAGCUGAAAGGGAGCCCGGACUUCUGUAUAGGAGGUGAGGACAAGGGCAGAAUCUCCUUCAUUGUGUAUUCUUUUCUCAUCACCCAGAAGAGGAUUAAUCAUAUUAGGACUCAGCAGAAACAAACGAGAAGAAGCUGCACAUGGCCAGGCAGUGCCUCCCAUCCCCAGGCAGUGCCUCCCAUCCCCAUUAGUGGCCUGCGGGAGGAACUUUCCAUGGGAAUCCCACCCAGCCCAGCCUCCUUGCAGGGCAAGGGCCCAGGACACUGGUCUCUCCAGCUGACUGCACAGGGCUUUAAAGCCAAGGAUGAGGCAGGGGAGGAGAGGGUCUCAGUGUAACACAUUCUACUCUACCCUCCAGGGCUCAGUUCCUCAAUUCUACAAAGGAAAAAAUAUUAGGUGUUUAUUAGGUAAAUAUUUAUUAAGCACCUACCAUGUGCUUUGUGCUAUUGGCAAUUUCUAUAAACAGGGUUUUCCCAUCCACAGCAGCUCUCCCUACCACAUGAGAGGGUCCCUGGAGGAGCAACCACAUGGAUUAAAUAUUUCACACCAUGAGUCAAUGGAAGUGCUAGCUCAGCCCUCAAGUUGCUGCAUGAUCCCACUCUGGAGUUCCAUGGAGCUGGGUUCCAAUUUCAGCUCUCCUCCUCUCUCAGGCUGCAGGCUGUGGGUUAGGUUUCUUAGCCUCUUGAAUUUCAGUUUCUCCAUCUAUAUAGUAGAGAGAAUAACAGUGCCUUCUCAGUGAGUUGGUGUGAGGAUUGAAUGGAAGAAUCCUGGUAAAGCUCUUAGUUAGCACAGUGCCUGGCACAUGGUGUCCUUUUGUUGGCCUUUGCUACAAUUAAUGAAGGCAGAAGUGUGAUUAUAUAAACCUGUACCCACUUUCUUUGAGUCUCCAUCCUCUGAUGUAUACCAUGAGGUACUCCCUGCAACCCCUUUAGUUUGAAGCCAUGCUAUUCUUGUCUUUGCUCCCCUAUCUCAACCCAGGAAUGGUGAUAUUCUUGUUUACUCGCCUUUGUUUGGUGUUCAAUGCUGUCUCUCCUUCCUGUGAUGGAAGGAUUGUUCUGUCCUUUUCCCCCUUCCAGAACCUGUUCUCAUUUCCGUUCUCCCAAGGCCAGCUGCAGCCUCUUGUCUCAAGAAUGUAUAUCUUAACAACAAUGAAAAUCCUCACAGACUCAUAAUCAAAACAUCUUGGAGAGGAUAUCUUAGAGAAAUGAGGUACCUUUCCAAUAAGGGGAAUGAGGAUCUUUGGUGUCUUUUUGUGGGUCUUUCAUAUCAUCAACAAAUACAAGUGUUUGUUAAGCAUCUAUUACACACACGCAAAUAUAUUAAUUACCAUGAUUUAAAAAGGGAGAAGACACAAAUCCUCAACUCAAGAUGAAAAAGAUUCCUAAAGAUAAAGGCUCAUUUAAUAUGAAUUCACAAUUCAAAAUUUCAAAACCCGUGAAUAAAUAAUCACAUUAUGAGCAAAUGUCAAUAAAUAGAAAAAAAGCAAAAUCAGAUAAGACUGCCAAGAACUUGAAGUAAAUGAAUAAUAUGAUAGAGACCACAAAACUAGUAAGUGUAAAAUUAUUAGACAUAAAAGAAGGAAUAUGAAAUGUAAAAAACACAACAGAAAAUAAAACAGAUUUGGAAAAGAACCAAAUAGAACUUAUGGAAAUCCUUUUACGGCCACAGAAAUUUUACAACUCAGCAAGUAGGAUAAAUAGCAGAUUAGACUCACUUGGACUGUAACAAUUAGGCCAAUAAAAAUAGAUCUGAGAAACAUAAUCAGAAUGUAGUAUAUACAAAGAAAAUGAUAGAAAUAAGAACACAGGCAUGGCUCUUAUUUCUAUCAGAGAACAGAAUGAAAAUAGGGCCAGGCACAGCAGCUCACACCUGUAAUCCCAGCACUUUGGGAGGCCAAGCCAGGCAGAUCACUUGAGGUCAGGAGUUUGAGACCAGCCUGGCCAACAUGGUGAAACCCUGUCUCUACUAAAAAUACAAAAAUUAACCAUGCAUGGUGGUGGGUGCCUGUAAUCCCAGCUACUUAGGAGGCUGAGGCAGGAGAAUUCCUUGAACCUGGGAGGCAGAGGUUGCAGUGAGCUGAGAUCAUGCCCACCGCACUCCAGCCUAGGUGACAGAGCACACCUCUGUCUCAAAAAAAAAAAAAAUGAAUGAAAAUAGAAUGAGAAAAUCUACCAUACACCUAAUGAGAGUUCCAGAUGAAGAUGAUGGAGAAUGGGGAGAAGCAAUAAUCAGAGAUAAUGGCUGGGAAGUAAAAAAACCAGAAUUCAUAGAUUCAUAAUGCCACAAAUUUUAAGUAAAAUAAAUAAAAACCCACUUUUUCAUGCCUUAUAGAGAAAUCAUAAUUCACCAAAGCCAAAGAAUAAAAUUUUUAAAGUAACAAGAGAGAAAGGAGAGACUACCUACAGAGGAAUGACAAUUAGACAGCCAACUUCUCAACAGAAACAACUGAAACAAGAAACAAUGGAACAAGAUCUUCAAAGAACUAAGUGAAAAUUACUGUCAACCUAGAAUUGUAGGCUGAACACAAAGUGUUUUUAGACAAAUAAAAACUAACAGAAUCUGUCACCAACAGACUCUCCCUGAAAGAAUUUCUAAAGGAUAAACUUCAGGAGAAAAGAAACUGAACCCAGAAGAGUAAUAAAGAAGCACUGAAGAGCAAAGAUGAUGAUUACCAUAUAGAUAAUACUAAACAAGCAUUGAUUUCUAAAACAGAAAAAAUAUUAAUGAUAAUUUUGAUCAUUACCAAAACAAGAUGGAACUAAAAUAUUAGAAAACAAUAACAUGCUAGACAGGGACUGUUACAUCAGAGUUAAAGCAUAUCAAGAUUCCUAGAUUGUUUGUAAGGCAAUAGAGGUAUGAAUUAACUUGAUACUGUUAAGUCAAGUAAACAUUAAAAGUUUAGGGGUAACCACUGAAAGAAUAAAAAUGAAAUAUAUAGCUUCCAAACCAGGGAGGGAUGGAAAGGGAGAUAAAGAUAGAAAAGAAGAGUCAGCCAGGCAUGGUGGCUUACACCUGUAAUCCCAACACUUUGGGAGACUGAGGCAGGCAGAUCAUCUGAGGUCAGGAGUUUGAGACCAGCCUGACCAACAUGGAGAAACUCAUCUCUUAUUUUUUUUUUCUAAAAAUAAAAAAUUAGCUGGGUGUGGUGGCGCAUGCCUGUAAUCCCAGCUACUCCGGAGGCAGAGGCAGGAGAAUCACUUGGACCUGGGAGGCAGAGGUUGCGGUGAGCCAAGAUCGCACCAUUGCAAUCCAGCCUGGGCAACAAGAGUGAAACUCUGUCUCAAAAAAAAAAAAAAAAAAAGAAAAGAAAAGAAAAGAAGAGUCAGGGAAAGCAGUAUAAAGUAAAGUAAACAGAACUAAUAAAAGAAAAUGCUAUACAAUAAAUAAAUACAAUAUAUUCAAACAUCUGAAGCUGUAGUAAUUGUAAAUAGAUUCAACUCACCAAUCAAAUGAAGAAUUUAAUUGCUUAGCAAUGUGCUAUUUCACAGAACCAUAUCUAUACAUUAAAGACUCUGAAAAGGACUGAGGAAAGAUGUACCAAAUUGUAACGAAAAGAAAGCAGUGUAACUGUUUUAAUACCAGACAAAAUAGACUUUAGGAGUAACUAGAAGUGACCUAAGUACAAUGGCAGGUGGAGAAGGAGAGUUAUUGAAAGCAGAGAGAACUGCAUGAGCAAAGACAUCAAGGGAGGACUAUCCCUAACAAAUUUCAAUAGCUCAAGUUCAAAUAUAGGUUAAAAUAGAGAAGCUUCUUCAUUGUAACAUUAUGCUCUGUUAUUUUUAAUGUAUAUUUUUGAGCAUGUAGGCACCAGACACCAUGCUAUAAAUUAUUUCUAUAAAUUAUUUCUACUCCUCGAAAAAUCUCACAAUGCAGAUGCUUUGUUAUUCAGUACAAUUUUGGUUAUAGAAAACUGAAACCCAAUUUGAAUCAGUCUGAGUUAAAAGUAAGAAUAGAUGGAUCUCUCACUAGAAAAACCCCACAGAAGGAAGGACACUGUUUGGGCCAACUUUGGAUCCCAUGCCCACUCUCCAGCUCAUUACUGAGUUCAGGAGGACAGGCCAAGCUUGGGUCAAGUGCCUGCCCAGCCUGAAGUGUGGGGUGUUACAAUAAAAAAUAAAAAAUAAAUAAAAGAAAACACGAUUGAUGUACAGAAGGACUGCUUCUCUGAAAGUAGGGGUCUGACAAAAACAAACAAUUCCACAAGAGUAGAUUGUAUUAUCCUCAUUUUAUAAAUGAAGUCUCAGACUCAGAGGCCAAGGGACUUGUCCAAAGCCCCAAGCACCUACAUGGCAGAGCUGAUGGGAAACCAGGUUUUUUCCUCUAAAAGGCUGAACUUUUUCUCCAAGCAAUGAACAUAGGACUUUGCACAGAGUUAAGUUCUCAAGAUAUAUACUAAUUCAUUAUUUUAAAGGACCUACAGAAUAUAAAGAAAAUUGAUCAUUUUCUUUAUAAUCAUUAAAAGAUUUGGAAUGAGGAACUUGUUUCUAGGGCCAACAACCCUACAGCAUAUGGGCCCUCCCAAGGACCCUCCACAGACACCAAUGAACUUGGCAUCAUAGAUCCUCAUGCUUAGAACUCCUUUGCACUGAUAAUUUGUACUGUGCAGUUCAGCCCUAAAACCAUCUUUAAUUAUUUCACAGCUUGUCCAGGUCUAGCACCUCCCUUUCUCCUCCACAACACCCAAAAGAGCCACUAGUAGAUGUUUAAAUGAUUGGCUCCAACACUUUUUAACUCAUGAACCCAUCUGGAAAACUGAUGAAACCUAUGGGCUCCCACCCCGAGGAAAAGGGGGAAUCAAUGCCUAUUUGCACAUACACACACACUUUCAGCAACUUUGCAGGCCCCUGAAAUGUAUCCAGGAAUCCCUGGGAGUUAAGAACUGCCUCAACAAGAAGGGAAUAAAACUUAGUACCCCCAAGAGACAGCAUUGGGAGGCUAUUCAAUCAACUCAAAAAGAUUGGGGCCAAUUCACAUGUGACUAUCUUAAAUGGACAAGAAGUGCUAACCCAUAAAAGCACAUUUCAUAGUUAGCUGUUGACUGCAAUGGAUCCCAUUCAGCUCCAAUUUUAAAAUACCAGCUGAGUGCCACUAUGUGCCAGGUACUCUGCUGGAUACAAACUAGAGUAAGACCCUGUCCUGAAUCCCUAGAAGCUCAAGACAGAUGCAUAAGCAACAAUUUCACUUCAGUGUGGUGAAUGCUAAGGUAGAGCUGUGCUAAAAUCCUAUGGGAACACUGGCAGGAGGUGGAAAGUAAGGGAAGGUUCCAGGAGAGAAAGUCUCAGCGGAAGGAGGAUCAGGUGUUUUCUGGCAAAGAACUGAGGGAGGAGGGGAGCAUUGCUGGUGGUAGAAACAUGAGACCCACAUGCAUGUAGAGUGACAUGUGUGGGAACAUCAAGCAUAUUGGUAUCACUAAGGCAGUGGUUGUCAAUGAGGGUGAUUUGCCACCCCACUCGCGACAUCCCAUUAAGGACAUUUGACAAUGUCUGAGUGUUAUCCAACAGAACUGAGGUCCACUUGCCCAGCACAGUUAAGACCAAACAUCCACAUCUAUGUUUUCAGCAAGAGAAAUAAUGGCAUUUAUUUGCAGGGCACCAAGCAAGGAGAAUUGAGCAGCUCACACUUAAGACCCAGCCUCCCCAAUGGCUGGCAGGUAAGGGUUUUCAAAGGCAUGGGUAAAUUUCAUGAAAGCAGAAGUUACAGGCAAAAUCCUAAAUCAAUACAUAGAGGUUACACAGUGGGUUGGCUUGAAAAGGUGGGAUAUCUGGAAGCAGGGCCUUAGAGGUCACAGGUGGGUUUAAAGAUUUUCUGAUUUGCAAUUGGUUAAGGAAGAUAAGCUUUGUUUAAAAAAAGAAGUAGAGAAUGUUGCCUAUUUCAUGGGCAUAACUUCCUUCAGGCCCCUCAGGAAGAACUUUAGAACAAAGACCAGCAAAAGCGGUAAGAGUUCAGUCCUCAGUUCCCCCUUAUCUGAGGUCUAUGUGCCAGUAGAUCCAUCUGGUAGGGGUCUGGGUUUCUGAAGAACCACUCAGGGACAUGUGUUAAAGUGUUACCUUUAGUUUCUAUAGGGAACCAAACACCUCAUGGCUCUAACGUCCUUGGCUAUUGUUUAAGCUACCAUUUCCUUUUAGGUUAUGCACUUGCUCACUUUCUUCUCAGAGCCAGCUCGGUGCCUCGAAUUUCCCUUGAAGGAACUUAAGAUUUCCCUUUAUUUCCAUGUUUAGGGUACAUUCAGCAACCUGAGAGGGGUCCCUGCUCCAUCUCACGAGGAUAGCUUUGGUUGUCUUAUCUCGGGUGGGAGUGGAGUUGCUUAUGGGUAUCUAGUAGGUAGAAGCCAGGUCUGCUGCGAAAUAUCCUUCAAUGCACAAAAAGCCCCUGACAACAAAGAAUUUUCUGGUCCAAAAUAUCGAUAGUGUUGAGAAAGCCCACAUCAGAGGAUCAAGUGUGGAUAGGGAGUUGUUGCCUGAAUUGAGAAACCAAUAUUCCUGUAGCUUUGGGGCUGCUGCCAUCAGACCCUCUCUUCCCUAAAGCAAUGAUACCAGCUCUGCACCUCAUCAGCAGGAGGAAAGAAUGAGAGUGGUUUGUCUCUGUACAGUGAAAACAUAGGUUAGUUAUUGAAGCUAACUUGACUUCUGCACUCAUGUAUCAGUUGUGAUUAUAGAAGAAGGCUCGGCUGCACCCAGCCUGCUAUGGUCUGGAUAUUUGUGUCCACCAUCCCCGAAAUUUAUAUGUUGAAACCUAAUCCCUGUUGACAAAAAGAGUCAAACUCUGUAAAAUAUUUUAAGAGAUUUAUUCUGAGCCAAAUAUGAGUGACCUUGGCCCCUGACACAGCCCUCAAGAGGUCCUCAGAACAUGUGCCCAAGGUGAUGGGGGUACAGCUUGGUUUCAUAUAUUUUAGGGAGGCAUGAGACAUCAAUCAAAUACAUUUAAGAAAUACAUUGGUUCGGUUCAGAAAGGUGGGACAACUUAAAGUGGGGGCUUCCAGGCUACAGGUAAAUUUAAAUACUUUCUGGCAGAUAAUUGGCUGAGUUUGUCUGAAGACCUGAGAUCAAUGGAAAGGGAUGUUCAGGUUAAGGUAAAGGGUUGUGCAUACCAAGUUUUAUUGUGCAGAGGAAGCUCUCCGAUAGCAGACUUCAGAGACAGCAGGUUGUAAAUUGUUUCUUAUCAGACUUAAAAGGGUCCCUGGAUCAUAGUUGAUUAUCUCCUGGAUCUGGGAAGGAAGGAAGGAAAACAGAGGGGCAAAGGUAUUCUCUGUAGAAUGUGGCUUUUUCCCACAAGAGACUUUGCAGGGCAAUUUCAAGGUAUGGCAAGGAAAUAUAUUUUGGGGUAAAACAUUUCAAAUUUUCUUCCUUGUUAUGCCAGAGUCAGAUUGGAAAGUAAGUCAUGAUACACAGGGUUAAAUAAACCCAUCUGAUGAGAAUUUAUGAUUUGUAGGGCAUGACUCCCCACACCCCUUAGGAAUUUGGGCAAGAUAAAAAAAAUCAGAGCUUAGUCCUCAUCCCCAGUGUGAUAGUUUUAGGAAGUAGGGCCUUUGGGAGGUGAAUGGGAUUAGUGCCCUUAUAAAAGAGUACUGAGAGAGACUCCUCACCCCUUCUACCACGUGAGGACACAGCAAGAAGGAACAUCGAUGAACCAGGAAGCAGGCCCUCACCAGACACUGAAUCUGCUGGCACCUUGGCCUUGGGCUUUUCCAGCCUCCAUAUCUGUGAGAAAAAAAGCUCUGUGGUCUAUAAGUCACCCAGUCUGGUAUUUUUUUAAAGCACCCCAAGCAAACUAAGACAUGGCUCCACCUGAAAGUAACCUGUGGAUGACUUGUGUGAACCCCAAACAUUUGAGACAGGUCUUAGCUAAUUUAGAAAGUUUAUUUUUGCCAAGGUUGAGUACGCGUGCCCCUGAGACAGCCUCAGGAAGUCCUGACAACAAGUGCCCAAGGUGGUUGGGGCACACCUUUGGUUUUAUACAUUUUAGGGAAACAUGAGACAUCAAUCAAUAUAUGUAAGAAGUACAUUGAUUCCACCCAGAAAGACGGGGACAACUUGAAGCAAGGAGGGGUCUUCCUGGUCACAGGUAUGUGAGAGACAAAUGGUUGCAUUCUUUUGAGUUUCUCAUAAGCCUUUCCAAAGGAGGCAAUCAGAAUAUGCAUCUAUGUUAGAAAUACCAAAAUUGUUAGAAAUAGAUAAUCGGUGCCAUGAAGAAAAGUCAGCACGUAGACAUAAGAUCUCUCAGCAAGGCAAUCUUUACUUUCUGCAGAAAGGGUGCUCAAUCACAGAUGGAACAAUGGUGAGAAUAUACCUGAACAAAGGAAAAGCAGACAUAUUUAUCCCUUACUCAUUUGGGUCAUCCUUACUGCUGUGUCCUGCAUCCAUUUGCUGGAGAAGGACCUCACUGAUAUCCGAUUUGCUAAUAACCUGAAACUUUCCUAAAUAGGUAAGUGCAGGGAAGGACAAAGAAGGAGAGGAAGUUGCUUAUGAAAGGUUUAAGGAAGCAAUAACAUUUCCAAAUAAGGAAGGGGCAUAAGCUAUGAGCUAAGAUUUGCCUGGGCCUGUCCAGACAUGCCUGAGUAAGCCAAAGCAACUAACUGGGCUAAAGUGUAAGAACUAAUAGUUGAUAGGAGGGUUUAGAGUAAGGAACUAUUAUUCCUAGUGUCUAUUAUUUUAUUUUUAAACAAGACAAGCUUUGAAGAGGAAGUUUUCUACUUUCUACAAUCUCAGUGAGCGGAGGGAUUACUUUGAACAGAAUGGGAGGCAGAUUUGCCCUGAGCAGUUCCCAGCUUGAAUUUUCCCUUUAGCUUAGUGAUUUCGGGAACCCAAGAUAUUUUCCUUUCACAUUUGCAUACCCAUCUUCGGGAGUAGCAGGUAACCCAGGUUAUUCACGGGAUUUGGUUUGCCUGGUUAGCCCACAGUGGGACACAGGAAGGAGAAUUCAGAGCUGUUACCAAGUGCUACCUGAGAUCACACACAGUUACUAAGGUCUGGAGAAUUCUCUCCCCAAAGCUCCAGAUGUAACUGUGACUCUACAGUGACUUCCUGACUCUAGGGACAUCAGAACAAGUUCCUUAAGAGAGCUUUCAGGAAAUAGCCUGGGAACUCUGUAAGCAGGGUCAAGAAUCCAUACAGUCACAGGGGCAGCAUCUUGCUGAGGGGUUUGCAGAGGGUUACCACAGGAAAGAGAAACCACCCAUAGCAGAGGGGCAGCAGGAACAACCGCCACCAAGUGGGUCACUAGCCAUGGGAGCCUCUGAGUCCUGCUGACAGCCAGUGGCUGGAACAGCAACCGAGACCUGCACAGGAGCCAGGGCUUCCAAAGCUUAUGAUGAAAACUCCCACUGACAUGGUCAGAGAGAGGGUCUAGUUCCAGGAACUUAUUUAUCAGAGUGCUCUCUCCCCAUCUUGGCAUGUGUUACUGGAUAUUGUGAUUUUUUUUUUUUUCGAGGCAGAGUCUUGCUGUGUUGCCCAGGCUGGAGUGUAGUGGUGCGAUCUUGCUGCAACCUCUGCCUCCUGGGUUCAAGUUAUUCUCAUGCCUCAGCCUCCAAGUAGCUGGGACUACAGGCAUGCGCCACCACCCCCACUAAUUUUUUGUAUUUUCAGCAGAGACAGGGUUUCACCAUGUGGGGCAGGCUGGCAAAACUUGGUCUCAAGUGAUCUGCCCACCUUGGCCUUUGAAAGUGCUGGGAUUACAAGUGUGACCAACCACACUCAGUAGAUAUUGUGAUUUUUAAUAAGAAAUAUAUAUUUGGUCUUCAUCCAAGCACAAGUGCUAGGAAACUAGGAGGUUUCCUAGCACACACCUCCUAAAACCCUUAGAGUAGCAGAAGUGAUUUGUCCUUUUGUAUACUAAUGGGUUGACUGUUGGCUGGGGGCCCCUGGAUAGCCUCAGAAUGGGGACUGGUUGCCAGUGGAACCAACCUUGUGAUUGGAGGAUUGGGAUAUUCAACUCUUCCCCCUGACCUCCAGGGAGGGGGAGGGCUGAAGGCUGAGGUGAUCAUCAAUGUCCAAUGAUAUAAUCAAUUGUGCCUACACAAAGAAGACUCCAUAAAAACCCAAAAGGCUGAGGCUCAGGAAGCUUCUGGAUUGCUGAACACAUGGAGGAACUGGGAGGGUGGCGUGCCCCUAGAGGGAAGCUCUGCACCCCUUCCUUUAUACCUUGCCCUAUCUGUCUUUUCUUCAAGCUGUACCUGAGUUGUAUCCUUUUAUAAUGAAUGGGUAAAAUUAAGUCAAGUAUUUCCGUGAGGUCUGGGAGCAAUCCUACCUCAUAAUCAACCAAGAGGAGGGGGGCGUGGAAACCUCCAAUUUACAGCCACUUGGUCAGAAGCACAGGUCACAGCCUGGGAUUUAUGACUGGCUUCCGAAUGGGGGCAGUCUUGCAGUCUUGUGGGACUGAAUCUUUAACCCUGUGAGAUCUGACUCUAACUUCAGGUGGAUGGUGUCAGGAUUGAAUUGAAUUAGAGGACACCCAACUGGUAUCAAAGAUCUGGUUGCAUGAGAAAAAAUAACCCACACACAUUUUGUUGACCAGAGGGGAAGUAUUCUGUGUUGAGUGUGAAUGUAGAAGGGAAAACUGUUCUUUUCUUCCUAUUAUACAGUCAUCCUUAACAUCUUUGUAGAAAGCAUCAUUGAUUUUCAACAUAUCCAUCACUGAAAGGAAAAGCCAGCUCCCCACCAGCAAACCUCACCAGGAAAAGGUCCAAACAGCCUGAGAGGGAACUUAAUUCACUGUAACUAGUACUCAGAUCCUGGGGGGAGGCUAUGGCCUGGGGGAGGAUGAUAUACAGGUAUACCUCAGCUGCUGGUCACAACAAAAACAAACCCUGAAUACUACACCCAAACAUGCUAAGCUGACUGUGGGAAAUCGGCUGAGAUAAGGCAAACAGAACACAAUAAGACCAUUUAUCCUGAAACAAACUGGCCCUUCAGUUUCCAAGAGACACCCAUAACUCAGCCCUCCAGGAAGAACUUGCACGUCAGUUGCCUCGUUCUCUGGGCACAGAACACCAUUAACUUUAAAAAUACACCAACGGUUGUACGAGAGACAAGUCAUCAAGCAUGGUGCUGGGAACAGGGCGGUUUGGGCUCCAUUUAAGGAAAAGCACUGGGCACUUGCAGGCCACAGACUUCUGCAACGGAAUCUUUUGAAAAAGCUUCUCCUUCCGUCUGGUGAUCCCGUCAGCAGCAGGCCUGUCCCCUAGGUCAGGUAGCCUGGAAUUUCAAUCCCCCAGGUGCCAGCACUUCUGCUUCUCAACUUGCGGUCCCUUUACUAAAGUCAAAGGAGGAUGGAGGCUGUGCCUCUACUUCUGGACCCUACUUUUAUAAAUAUCCUGCAAUGUAAUUAUUUUUAUGACCAAAUUUUCUUUUGACUGUUAGGCCUCCUCUGGGACCAUGUAAUUACCCAGCCCUAUUUGCAAGUUUAAGUGCAUGGCUCUGCGGUCAUCUGAACACAGGAAAAGGCUUUGCCGUGCAUCUGUACGCAUAUUGCCUUCAUAGCCAAGUUAUUCCUAAAUCGUUCACCAGUUUAAAGAUGUGUCCCAUAAAAACCUUCUUCUGGGCUCCAUCCAAGGCGGUGGAGCCAGCAUGGCCCUGGACGGAUAUUUCAGGGAGGCUGAGAGCGACCGCAAGGAAGCAUUGUGCCUAAUCGUGGCACUCGUCCGGAUAUCGUAGGAAAAUUAUGACCGAAAAUACCUCCUGAAGACAGAAUGACCACACGGCCUGCGGCAGACUGGCGGUGUCAAGGUGUUCAGCUUUUUCCAAGAAUGGCACAGAGAAGAAGACCACAGAAGAGCUAAGCUUCUUGGAAAAUGGGUGUGUCAUGCUAGGGAAAGCACUGGCAGCGCAGGAAAUAAAGAAAGCUCCCCACGUAAGCCAUCUAGCACAAGGGAAUGUAUGGCAGAGAGUCAACAGCCACGUCUUGGCAGUGGAGGAUCUAGGUUCAAAAGGCAGCUCUGCACCUUUCUAGAAAUAUGACCUUAAACAAUUUGGUUAACUACUCCGAUUGCCAGGUUCCCCAUCUAUAGUACUGAAAAUCAUUCUAUCCAUAGGUUGUGUAAGGAUCAAAGAAGAUAACAGACAUAAAAUAUUUAGCAUUGCACCUGAUAAAUAGUAAAUAUUUCACAAAUGAGAGUAUUGAGAGUAUUAUUACCCUCAAUGGUAAUUAUUAUUAUUAUUAAGAGUAUUAUCAUUUUCUCAUUAUUAACUCCUUAUAGCUGCAUAGUGUUUUAGAAUUUGCAACAGGCUGCUCUAUUCAUUCCUUUUUUUGUCUGAGAAAAAUCUGACUAGGUAAUGUAUUAAUUCAUAUAAUUAAAAAUAAAAAUGAUAUACAAGUACAUGAUGAAAGCCUAGCUCCCACCCCGUCUCUAUCCACCUUCUCCCCUCCUCCACAGCUGCCCUUGAAGGUAACACUUUCCUUAGGUCCUACAUAUGCACCAGUGUUUCUUUCUACAAAUACAUAUAUUCAGCUUCCCCCCAUUUUUUACACAAAAGUAGCAUUCUAUUCACACUAUUCUGCUAUUUGCUAUUUUUACUUUAUAUUAAUAAAUCUUACUAUGGAGAGAUCCUACUUUCCAUAUUAGUAUAUAGGAAGCUUGCUGGAUCUCUUUCUCUCAUACACACACACACACACACACACACACACACACACACACACAGAGAGAGAGAGAGAGAGAGAGAGAGAGAGCUACAUUGUAUUCCUUUGCAUAGCUCUAUCACAGUUUAUUUAACCAGCUCCCUCUGAACGGACACCUGGGCUGUUUCCAAUUCCAGUCGUGUAUUGCUCUUGACACUGCCACAGUGAGGCCCCUUGUUCAUCGUCAUCUUGUACAAGUGCAGGCACAUCCUUAGAAUGAAUCCCCAGCAGUGAGAUCAUUGGUCAAAGGGCACAAGCAUCUGUGACUGUGGCUGGUUAUUGCUGAGGGCUCCCCAUUGGGAUUGUGCCAUUUUGCACCUCCCCAAGCAAUGUACAAGAGGGAGCAAUCCUUUUAACUCUUUUCAUUGUUUCUUCUGCUAGCUGCCCCCAUGUCUCCAAAUGUUAUGCUCAGCCAGUUUCUUUUCUUCUCUUUUUUUUUUACCAUCUUAACCUUAUUUAAGCACACAAUUCAAUGGCAGUAAGUGCAUAAUGUUUAAGUGUCACCAAAGCAUUUAUCCCAAACUGAAACUAUGUGCCCAUUAACAAGAACCCCCCAUUCCCUCAUCCAUUCUUGUUUAUGCUGGCACUUGCCCAUAUAGCAUAGUUGGAGGGAAAUAAACCUUCCUGACAAAUCCCCCAAAACACUCCCACUUGCUCUCUGAACCAUCGUACUCGUUUAAUAAUAGAGGAACAAAGGCUUUCAUUGUAUGAUAAGAGAUUAGCCUUGUAGAAAAAAAUUCUCCUGGAAGAAGAAAUCAAAAUCUUUAAAUUUCACAUAAACUUGUGAAUGGCUCCUUUCUAUAUGCAGCUCUCUGUGUGGGUCAGGUAGAGGAUGCUGGAAAGGGCAGUGGGGAUGGUAUAUCCCAUGGUAUGUGGGGUCAGGGGACUCAGAAAAAGAAUGCUAUAUUUUAUCUACUUCUUAGUCUAAGGACUAAGUUGCCUAGCUGUCGGAUAGAGGAGAGUGAAUUUGGCUUUGCACCCAGCAAGUACUUGGUUUUCUAAGACAUGCAGUUCUGUGGGCACCUCCCUAAUGCCAUCGCCCUCUCCCCAGAUUUCCCAGCUGUGUCAAUAUUCCUCUUCCCAAGCUCCAAGCCACCUGAGGACCACAUGCCAGGGGGCAUUGAGAGAUAGGUAGGAUGAGGCUGAGAGAGCAAAGGAAGUAACAGUAAGUAGAAAGGACGCUGCACAUAAAGUGACAAGCUAUGUGGACAAGAUGAUGUAUGUAAAGUGCUUAGUAGGGGGUCUGUAUCCAGCUACUGUUCAGUGAAUGGUGAUGAUGAUGCAGAUGACCGAAAAUGAUAAUGGUAAUGAUGACAAAUUCCUCAAAAAUCAGCUGCCUGAGUAGUGGCUCAGCUCCUAAAUAUUGGAGCAGCUAACCUCCUUAUACUGAUCUGAAAUCCAAUCCCUCCAACUUCCAAUGGGUCUUAAUUCUACAUUGGGCCACCCACAAUCUGAUUACACUUCCCAUUACACACACGUCAGUGGGUUAAAGACAGCAAUGGUUCCUCCUGGUAUCUCCUCUUCUUCAAUCUGAAUAUCUCAUCAUUCUUCAAACAUCCUUCAGAAAACUUGGUUUCUAGACCCUCAUGAAGCAUUUUGACAGAUUGAAACAAGGGAGACAUGAGGAGAGGAGCUCCAUUCCAUGAAAGUGAGAUGGGCCACAGAUGAGAGGCAGGUAGAAUUUGAGACCCAGGGACAGAGGAAACAGGGUGAGAAAGGAGUGACUCCUUGGGUCAGAGGCCCAAAGAAGUGACUCUUCAGAACUUAGUUCAGAGCAGUGAUCCGUGAGAGCACCAAUACAGGACUAUCAGCCGGGUUAGCCCUGGACCAAGGAAUGCCAGGAUUUGAUAGGGCUCCAUGGCUGAGUCCCUGGGAAUUCUGCUAUUUCAUUACUAAAUCUCUGAGGUUCACCUCCAUGUGAGCCCAUCUAAGUAGGGUAUUAAGAAGGUUCUUAACACCCCCCCAAAGUCACCCUUUCCAUCUUUAGGUGGAAAGUUAUGCUAUGAAGACUUUGGCCUCCACAUUCCAGGGGCUAAGUCCCACCCUUGAACAGAAAAUGUCUCCCUCAUUUCCCUGUAAUAACUUGGUGGCAUUGCAGGACAGAGUAGAGGGACAAUGUAUAGUAGAACAGGCAGGGGAUACUGAGUGGCUUUGUUCCCCUCCCUGGAAAUCCCUGUGGACCCAAAGACUAUACAGGAGCAGUGGCAUUAUCACUGAGAUCUACUAAUUGAUAGUGGUUAAUAGUGAUAAUCUGAUUAAUCUAUUAACCUAGUUAAUAGGUUGGCAGAUCCCUGGUGUUUACUUCAAUUAGAUCCCAUGCAUUUGCACAUUUUUUUAGUCCUAGGUGAUUUUUUUCAUCUCAAGUUAUCCAAGUAUUUGUCCUCUGCUGCAACUCAAAGGCUUGUUUUCCUAAACAUUCAUUCAUCACUUUCCAUUGAGAAAAUCUCCAUCCAUUAUUCUUCCUCCUUACAUCACUCUUUAGUUCUAAAAACCUCCCCAGUGCAAAUACCACAUCAACACUCCCUUUUUCUUUUCUGUUUUUUAAAAUUAUUUUUUAUUAUACUUUAUGUUCUGGGAUACAUGUGCAGAAUGUGCAGGUUUGUUACAUAGGUAUGCACUUGCCAUGGUAGUUUGCUACACCCAUCAACCCAUCAUCUACAUUAGGUAUUUCUCCUAAUGUUCUCCCUCCUCAAGCCCCCCACCCCCUGACAGGCCCCAGUAUGUGAUAUUCCCCUCCCUGUGUCCAUGUGUUCUCAUUGUUCAACUCCCACUUAUGAGUGAGAACAUGCGUCAACAUCCCCUUUUUCUAUUAAGCCUAGCAGCAUUCCAAAAAGGAAGGUAGAUGUAGUCUUUCAUACAGAGAAUAAAGCACUGAGAAAGAAAGUUCAUGCCCAUCUGGUGUCCUCUCUUAAGGAAGCCACCACCACAACAGUGAACAGAUGAGCAAUCAUUGGCUCCCUACUUCUCCCAGCUCACUGGACUCAGGGCCACAUAGCCAAGUACAAGAUGCCUGGUUGGUAUAAAGAGUUCCCAAUUAUAUCACCAGGCCUGGUUAUUUCUGCAUGCCAGGACAGAUCCAGGUGGCCCACACUGGGGGGCCUGGGAGCUACCUUCAUUUUUGGAUUCACCUUCACAGUGUAUGGAUGUGAAGCUCAAGUUCAGGCUCUGUUUCUGCCUUGGCCCCAGGGAGAAGAUAUGUGCAGUGGCACGUAGCCACCAUUGCCACCUCCCAAGUUGUGGCUACAAGUUCUUCCUGGCAAAGUCCAUCUUCAUUGAUGCUCUCCAAUUUCCCUCUCCACCCACCAUCUCUUUUCUUUUUUGGAUGAUAAUGACUGCCUGAGUUAGCUCUUAUGAGUCAAUUCCACCUAUUUUUGGUCAAACUCCACUCCUGGUUUGGUCCUCUUCCAAGACAAAUCCAGAAGCCACAGGGGGCUGGAGAGUUGCCCUGGCAGAGAGUUGCCCAACAGAACUUCAAUUAAUUUCCCAGGUUGCCAUCAGGACCUCCGACAUGGGAGUGGAGCUCAGCGUCCAAGCCUGGCAGGGAAGUUGGCUGGCAUUUGGGGAAGACAUUUAGGAUGCUGGGUCCUCCUUACUUAUGCCUUUAAAUAUGAGGACCAGUUCCUGACUCCAAUGCUCUCCCAAACACAAUGGGGCCCAAUAUUAGAAUUCCACAUAUUUUCUAAAUUCAAAAGUCAGAAUGAAGGAGAGGUGGAGAAAGACAGCGACACCAACGAAGACACAGAAGCAGACAGAAAGCUGAGAGAGGCAGAGAGGCAGACUACAGGAACAGAGGGAGCCUCGUUCCAAGUUGCCUAGCCCAUUUCUCACACUCAGACACUUAACUGUGCUCACCCCUCAUGUUCAAACUCAUGCCCCUCUUGUUCCCCAGCACCUGCAGUGGUUCUAGAAUUUUUAUGUAAGAAGUUGACCAUCUAGUUGGAAGAGGGGCUAAGGAACUAGCUUUGAGGCUGCAUUUGCAUACUGGGCACACUUUUGGUUUUGACUAAGUGCUCACUUGGUGUGGCCAAUGGGAACUGUCAGGGGGUUUCCACUGCCCAGUACAAUUUCUGUUCCAUCAAUCCUGCCACGUGGUCCAGUCAUUCUCUUGCCCCUCAACUCAUGAUGUCCAGACUCAUGUGCCUAGUUGUGCUCAUUUCACUUCCUUCCUUUUACCCAGACUCUGCAAAGACCUUCCCAGGCUCCAUGUCUCAAUGAGACCCAAUUAAAUACCAUAUUGCUCACUUAUGUGGCAGCUGGGUACAGUAUCUGGCUGGAUGCCAGGGACUGCCUACAAGCCUUGCAUCUGUACAGGACUUUGCAGUCUGCAAAGUGCUUUUGCAUCCAGCAUCUUAUCCAACUCUCACAACAGCCUUACAUGGUAGCUAGGAGAGUAAGGGUCAUUGUUCCAUCUUAAAGAUGAGGAGAGACAAGAAUGGUAGCAGGUACACCAACUUCAGACACACAGACCCGCAUGGAAACCCCAUCUCUGAUGUCUAUUGCUUUGGGUGAGCUGGGACAGUUCUGAGUCUCAGUUUUCUCAUCUCUAAAAUGGGCCCAUAGUUACCUACCUUGCAAAAUUGUGUUAGAUCUAGAGGUAACAUAUUUAAGGUGCCUAGCAAAGUACAUGGAAUCGGGUAUAAGCUAAAUGGUAGCAAUUUUGAAGAUUGAUGAUGAUGAUAGUGGUGGUGGUGGUGAUCAUAGUGACUGUACUAACCAAGAUGUUAGUAGUGGUUUUAUUGUUUACCUAUACUUUCUAUCUUUUCUAUAGUUAAUCAUGACUAGCAUGAUUUAUGAAAAAAUGGUUUAAAUAUUUCUCUUUUUUUUGAGACAGAGUCUAACUCCAUCACCCAGGCUGGAGUGCAAUGGCAUGACCUUGGCUCACUGCAACCUCCAUCUCCCAGGUUUGAGUGAUUCUCGUGCCUCAGCCAUCCAAGUAGCUGGGAUUACAGGUGUGCGCCACCACACCCUGCUAAAUUUUUUUGUAUUUUUUCUAGAGACAGGGUUUCACCAUGUUGGCCAGGCUGGUCUCGAACUCCUGACCUCAAGUGAUCCGCCCGCUUUGGCCUCCCAAAGUGUUGAACUUACAUGUGUGAGCCACCACACUCUGCCAGUCUUUCAAGUAUUCCUGAUAAGAACUUUAUUCUUCUUCUCCAGAGCAACAUGUUAGUUCUGCAAAAACUCCACCAGGAAGCUGGCAGCCCUGGGCAGGUGCUGUCUGAAUGCCUGGCCAAAGCCUCAUUCCCCACGCUCCAUCUCACUCACCACGUAUUCAAGUCCAGGUAAUUGUGCCCAGCAGCUACCAGUUCCCAUGUAAUUGUCCCCAAAUUGCUCCGGGUGGCCUUUCCAGGCAGAAGCUCUCCACAAUUAGUCCUUUCAUCAAGAUGUUGAAAGACAAGUGAUUAUUUUGGGGAAUUACGUGUCAGCAAGAAGAUGCAGCUUUAAUAGGGCACUAUAGGGCCCUCAUGUUAAUUACAAUCUGGAAGAUACUAUCACAUCAUUUCUUCAUCCACAGCUCAUUAGGCAUUCCAGCCUCAGCUCCCUGACACGACUGUGGAUUUGUUACAAUGUGCGAAGGAAAAAAAGUAUCUCAAAUGAGGACAGUGUAAGGAUUCUGUGGAUGCACCCAUAUGCAGGUGGUCAGCAAACAUCUUAAUAAGCCUAAUCUUGUCUUGGAUUCAAAGUAACAUGUAUACCUAUGAGAGCAAGCAUAUCCAUGCACACAACACACACACACACACACACACACACACACACACGCAGCACUCUUAGAACAUCUUGCGAAAAAUAUCCAAAUGCUUCCUGAUUACAUUCUUCUGCUUCACUUUCUUUAGCUUUUUUUAAGCAAUGAGGAGUUAUUUUUUGAAAUAGGAAACCAAAAUCUUCAAUUAAGUAUUCAGUAUUUCUUGAGGGCCUACAUAUGGCCAAGUCUGGUGUGGGUACCCCAGGGGAUAACAGAGAAAAACACAUGUCCUCAUGGAGUUUAUAAUCUCAUUAGGGAGAAAGAAUCAGUGCCCACAAAACAAAGCACUAAAGAAACAACAGGCCUGGCACAGUGGCUCAUGCCUGUAAUCCUAGCAAUUUGGGAAGCCAAGGCUGGUGGAUGACUUGAGGUCAAGAGUUCGAGACCAGCCUGGCCAACAUGGUGAAACCCUAACUCUACUAAAAAUACAAAAAUUAGCCAGGCGUGAUGGCGCACCUGUAAUCCCAGCUACUCGGGAGGCUGACGCUCGAGAAUUGCUUGAACCCAGGAGGCAGAGUUUGCAGUGAGCCGAGAUCGUGCCACUCUACUCCAGCCUGGCAACAGAGCGAAACUGUCUUAAAAAAGAAAAAAAAAAGAAAAGAAAAGACAAAAAGAAAAAGAAAAGAAAGAAAGAAAUGACAGCAGGAAAAAAGGAGGGUAUUGUCAUCUUUUAAAUGCCUCUGGCACUCUGAGAGAAAGGUCUGGGCAUAAGGGAUCUCAGGAAAAAGUAAAAACCAAACUGGGCUUAGCCUGGAGGGAUGAGUCAUGUUGUACAGGCAUGAGACAAACAUAUAGAAUGGUCUUUCUUGAGAAGAGGGGAUAGAAGGCAGAAGACAAUGAGAGAGACAGAGAAAGAGGCAAAGGAGAGAGAGAAAGAGAAAAUGAGAGAGGGAGGGGGAAAGGGAGGGAGAGAAUCAGGGAGGGAGAGAAUGAGAGAGGGAAAGGAAGAGAGGGAGGGAGAGAAUGAGAGAGGAAGGCGGAGGGAGGGAGAGAAUGAGAGAGGAAGGGGGAGGGAGAGAAUGAGAGAGGAAGGGGGAGGGAGGGAGAGAAUGAGAGAGGAAAGGGGGAGAGAGGGAGGGAGAGAAUGAGAGAGGAAGGGGAAGAGAGGGAGGGAAAGAAUGAGAGAGGGAGGGGAAGAGAGGAAGGGGGAGAAUGAGAGAGGGAGGGGGAGAGAGAAAGAGGGAGAGAAUGAGAGAGGAAGGGGGAGGGAGGGAGAGAAUGAGAGAGGAAAGGGAGAGAGAGGGAGGGAGAGAAUGAGAGAGGAAGGGGAAGACAGGGAGGGAGAGAAUGAGAGAGGAAGGGGAAGAAAGGGAGGGAAAGAAUGAGAGACGGAGGGGAAGAGAGGAAGGGGGAGAAUGAGAGAGGGAGGGGGAGAGAGAAAGAGGGAAAGAAUGAGACAGGAAGGGGAGGAGAGAAUGAGAGAAGGGAGAGAGAAAGGAAGAGAGAGAAAAGAGAGACAGACUAGGGGAGAGAAAGAAAAAGGGGGAAGAAAUACGAAGAGCAGUGGGGACAGAGGGGGAACAGAGAGACAGAGAGAAUGAGGGGGAGACAGGGAGACUGGCAGAGACAGGGAGAAAGAGAGUAACAGGGAGACAGAGAAAGAGAGAGACACAGGGAGAAACAGAAAGAGAGAGGAGAGAGCAAUAGGGAGAGAGAGGGACAGGGAGAGAGAGACAGAGGGAGAGACAGAAAGAGAGAGGGGAGAGGGACAGGGAGAGACAGAGAAGAGAAAGAGAGACUUGGGGGAGAGAAAGAGGGGCAGAAAUAUGAGAGGAGGAGGGAGGAGAGGUGGGGAAGGGAGGACAGGGAGACAGAAUGAGGGAGGGGGAGAAAGAGAGGUAGAGAGAGAUGGACAGAGGGGAGAGGGAGGAAGACAGUCAGGGAGAGAGAGAGAAUGAGGGCAUGAGAGAAUGGGAGAGGGAGGGAGGGACGGCACACAAACACGUAAAGGAGAGGAGGGAAAUUGCCAAGCAAUGGAGACCCGGAGAGUGAUCUUGAAUAGCAGACAGAAGGUUGGGGUGACUGAAGAGAGCACUAUUUCACAUUCUUAGGCAGAGUGUAAGGUGGUAACAGAAGUGAGCUAAGUAUUUGUGAAGGUCACUGGGGACGCUGUGUCCAGAUCUUUGGAACCCUGCUCUUUUGGAGGAACUUCAUGGAGCUAGCUGAGCUCGUUGAGCCUCUCAGGUUGUCAAUUUCUCUUAGAAGUAAAAGAGCGCUGACUGCGGAAGUGAGAGGCAGGGGGUGUGUGCAUGUGCGUGAGUGUGUGUGUGUGUGUGUGUAUGUGUGCAAGUGCGCUACAUGCUGCCUUGAUGAGACCAUCUGAUAGGUCCCUGCCAUGCCAACCUGGCACUCUUGUUCUUUGGGCACAGAUGAAAGAGCUGGGAUAAAACCAGCUGGGAUUAGGGAGUUAAUGAUGUGCUUGGCCUUGGGAAAGUUUGAGGGGAUCUGGCUUCCUCAAUCUUGUUACGCAAUUUAUAACCCCGUCUUCCAACUCGGCAGCCCCUCCUUCCAUGUCAGUAUUAUUCUUGACUAAGAAUUGCUCUUGCUUGCUGAGGGUGUACCUAUUUGUGGAUUGCUUGUCACCUACAGUUGAAGGGAACUCAGAUUCCUAAAGGGCAGUGUCCUCAGAUUUAGUCCAUUUUUGUCCAGCCUGUAAGUAUGAGCUGCCAUGUUCAUUUUCCCCCUACCACCCAAGCCAAGUCAUUUUAGGGUCUGGCCGCAGGAGGCCAGUGCUGGGUCAGCUUUGAGCCACGGCAGGAGGUUUACAGGGAUUAAGGCAAAGCGAGGGACACCAGAUUUGGUUUCAAAGUGAUAUUCACCAGGAUAUUGGAUUGCAUUUUAAGGAGCUACUAAUGGAGAUGUGGGUGAGUGGGGGCCAGCCCCUGAAGAUUUUCCAUUCCGAUAGUGAAAUCGAGUCGCCCAGUGCAGGCUGUCAUAUGGGGCUGCUGCUCUACUUUGCUUGUUUAGAGGGGAGUCAAUGACAGUGGAAGGCCUUGUACCAGGGCCAGGGAUGGGAAAAGCCACCACAGGCCUCUCUGUCUUCCUGAACCUGUGGACCACCAGUGUAGGCUCAGGAGUAGAUAGAGCCAAUAAGGGGUGCUGGGAGAUCCUCCUACCAGAAUUUCCCCAUUAAUGACUCCUCUGCAGACAGCCAGGAAGGCUUUGGGGGUCUCUGAGAACCCCUUACAUAGCAUCAAUAAUCACAGAGACACAGGAGGGGGAACCUGACAUGGUGUGAGGGGAGAAUAAGAGAAGGGAUAAGGAGCAAAGAGUGGACCUGUAGCUGAAUACAAAGCCUAACAGGAUCAGAAUUCAGUCUGGGCUCUGGGAGGGGGUGAAACACUAGCUAAACGUUACUGACAUCACUAUUUCGCCAAGGUCAGCCUUCAGGGACACAAGACCUUCAGUGUUGCUGACUCAGAAGUUACCUUUUAAUGCAAAGCCUAUGCUUAAUCCCUCUCAUCUCUCCUUACCACCAGGCCAAACUGUUUACCCAUCCCUCUUGGAGCCUGCGGUCUCCGGCCUCCCUGCCUUCCCCAGGGGCCAUUCACAGCACCUCCUCCAAGUCACCUUCUAGGCACUGUGGAAGAAGCUUUAGCCUGGGGGUCCCCAGGGCUGGAAUUCUAGCUGUGACACUGGUGGUGGUUGGACCUUGUGACCCUCCACCUUGCUGAGAGUCAAUUCAUGGAUGUCAUUAUCUCUAACUCUUGAGUCCUAGUGCAGAUUAAAGGAAAUAAUGAAUGCAUGUGAGGGGGCCAAGCACCAGGCUUGGCACCACAGUAGGUACUAAAUUAUUUCUCUCCCUUCAGAACUGAACCCCUGAGGUUGAGGACUGGGUGUUCUUGGUCUGUGCUUUGGGCCAUCCCGAAGUGGCUGGAAAGGAGUGAUGUGUUCAGGGAGGGCUACCAAGUAGCCAGUGGCCAAGGCCCCAGGGCUCUGAGUCACCCUCCACAGGGUCACCAACCAAGAGAUCUAGCCUCCGCCUCUAAACCAAAGUUGAGUGACUGUUCCCAGCAGUUCCAAGAAGCAACAGCCAAGGCCUGUGGAUCUGGAUAAAGAGCUGAGAAACACCCUGGCCACUGUACAUUCUGCUCCUCCCACACUGCUACCCUCCCCACCCCCAACCCUGCCCCACCUUCCCACUGUCCUACUCUUUGCUGGCAGGGGCAAAAUCAAUCGCAUCUUCAGGGGGAUGAAAUUCUCCCAUUCACUCUCCUCUUCCCCUUCAGCUAGCAACUAAAAAAGUCACAUUUUAUUAUCAAGAUGGAAGAUCUUAAGGGUGGUCAGUGAAAAGCAGCACAGCCCAACAGAAAGAACCAGAAGACUACGACAUCAUCCUGCUCUGCAUUUAUUAGCUGGGCAAUCUUGAGCCAGUUGCUGAACCUCUCUGAACCGCCUUUUCCAUAUCUGUGAAAUGACAAUGAAAAAGGAAAUCUUUGCAGGGCUUUUAUGAAGAAGGGAAAGCAAGACAGUGUAUAUGAAACGGCUUUGUUAACAGGAAGUGCUGUGAAAAUAUGAGGCGGUUAUCAGAAAGAACAUGCGUUGUAGGAGGUCACCUAAGGAUAUCUGUGAUUGUGUCACCUCCUAGAACACAUCUUGAUUCCUGUGUUUGUUUCCUGUGUGAUAGGCAGGGCCCUAAGCUAGAGGGAAGCUGCAGUGAACAAAAGGCCACAUCCCUGCCCUGGAAGAGCUUACAUUCUAGUCGGGGAAACAGACAGUGAAUGAAUAGCAUGACAUAGCAUAGAGUUAUGGGCAGGAGAUAAGCAGGUGAGGCUCAGGAAGUGUGGGGUGGCCAGAGUCACUAUUGUAAAGAGAAGGGCCAGGGAGGAACCUUCUAAAGAGGGUUACUGGCUCUCCUAAGAGGCUUCUCAUAGCAAACUCCCCCUCCUUCCGCUGAGAGGGUUUGAUGGCAGGCAACAGAUGACUUAGGACUCCUCUAAUGGUCUUUAGGAACAGGAAGGCACCACCACCAUUAUCAUGCAACAUUGUUCUGGAAGUGCAAGCCAAUGCAAUUAGAUAAGGAGAAAAAUAAGAGGUAAAUGUAUUAGAAAGGAGGAAGCAAAUUUAAUAUGAUUUACAAAUGAUAUGAUUAUAUAUCUAAAUCAACUAAAAAACUUUAGAAACAAAAAGAUAAUUGACUUUGGUGGCUUCUUCUUAUAUAAACAACCACCAGUUAAGAGAAUAUACUGGAAGAAAAAGUACCAUUUAUAAUAUGAAGAAAAAGAAAAACACAUCCAAGAAUAAAUUUCACAAGAACUGUGCAGGAUCUCUAUAAAAAAAAAAAAAAAAAAAAAAAACUUUAAACUGCCACUUAGGAAUUUUAAUCACACUUGAAUAAAAGACAUAUUCUUGAAUACAAAAUUUCAGUGUUGUAGAAAUUUUGGUUUUCCUUAUUCAAAGCAAUCCUUGUUAAAGUAUCAGCAUAAUUUCUUUUGGCUAUACAAACUUAUUCUAAAGUUUAUCUGGAAAAGCAAAUAUAUGAGAAUAGCUAGGAAAAAUGAUGGAGAAAAAUGAAAGUGGGCAGAUGGACUUCCUCAUCAGAUAUUUAAAUGUAUUUAUUGUAAAUCUACAACAAAACAAUUCGGUAAAGUGCAAUUUGGCACAGACAGAUUUACAAGAGAGAGUCCAGAUAUAAACCCAAAUGCAUAUUGGAAUUGGGUAUACCAUAAAGGUAUAAUUCAAAUCAGCAAUAAAUAAAUUACUCAAUAAAUAAAAUGGGAAAACUGCUUAACCAUUGGGGUUGGGAAAGAACUAAGCUGGAAACCCAUUUCACACCUUAUACUAAAACAAAAUUACAGAUGAAGCAAAAAUUUAAACGUAAAACGUACACCUUAAAAGUUCCAGAAAGAUACACAGAUGACUUUAAAAAUAAUCUUAGGCUAGAGAGAGUCUCUGUAUGCAUAACACAAAACCCAAAAGUCAUUAAAAAUAUUGACCAUGUAAAGUUGUGUAAGUCUGUAGGUUUAGAAAAAUAGCAUGUAAAAGGUCAAAAAACGAAUACUAAACAUAUUUAGCAUAUAAGUUAAAUAGACUACUUCUUGGGUAUUUUGUGUACUAGUUAGGAUAGGGGAACUACUAUUAUAUUUAAAAAAAAAAAAGACCUAAAGUGUAUGAUGGUUCAAGUCAAGUGGUUUCAGUUAACCACAGAAAAGGGAACCCUCUCCUCUAAAUCAUUCAAAGACCAGGCUGACAGGUCUUACCAGCUCUAACCCCGGGUGUCAUGGAGGCGAGUUGGUGGGAAGUUCCCAUGGGCUAGGCUUGGCAGUAGCAUAUGUCAUCUGUACGCACAGUCCCUUGGCUAGAACUCAUUCACAUAGCCAUAUCUACCCUAAACAGGGCUGAGAAAUGUAGUCCCUCGCUAGAUGCUUCUUCCCAGGGACAAUUCUACACACCAGAAUGCAGAGCACACAUUUCUGAUGAGCAGUUAGCCAUCUCAGCCGCAUCGUUCAUGCAUGUCACACGUAGAAAGGCAGAGGGCAAAUAUUGCUAAAUUAAAAAGAGUUCCAGAAAUCUAUUCAAAAAGACAAGCAGAGCAGAGGCUAUGAACUCACAGUUCAUAGAACAGAAAAUGCAGAUACUCAUUAAGCAAAUGAAAAAUCCUAAAGUUUGUAAUAAUUAAGCACAUUAAAAUAAAAGCAACAGGAAGAUGCCACUUUUUAUUUAUCAGACUGGUAAUGAUGAAAACGUUUGGUAAGAGUUGAUAAGUGUGUGUACCAUACACACCUUCAAAUACUGUUGGUGGGAGUAUACAUUAGUGUAACACUUUUGGAGAACGAUUUGGUAAUAUCAAUAAUAAUUUUAAAUACAUGUAUCUUUUGUUUAACCCAACAAUUCCACACUAAUAAAUGUGUCCUAUACUGGUUAAAGUACACUAAGUCAUAUGAAUAAGAAAGCUCAUUGAUGCAUUGUAUAUAUUAGCAAAAAAGCAAAGUAGACAGACAAAAACUAGGAACAAUUUGUAUAUCUACCAGUAAGAAACAUAUGUCUAUAUAAUGGACGUGGUACAGUCUGUUAAGAGAAUAAUGUGGAUCCAUUUGUCCUAACAGAAAGAUCUCCAAAAUACCCAGAAGAUGCUCACUUAAUGGGUCUUCACUUAACAGACUUACCACAUCGUGUGAUGCUUAGUCCCUACAGAAAAUACACCACGUGAUGAACAUGGCCUACUCUCUGGCAUUCCAGGACCCUUCUCCUACAAGUUGAGUAGGGGGCUUAGCAGGAGCAAUUGUGUUUGUCGCCAGGCCUGGUUACUCAAGUUGCAUUUGUUAUUUUUUAUUCAUAACUAAAUACUACGAAAGAACUAAUUGAGCAUGAGUACAAAAUAAGAGUCAGUUCUCUGAAAGCUAAGGGAAAUGCUUUGAAAAUACUCAACAUAAGUGAGUUUUUACCAAAAACCAAAAUGAUGUUAAAAUAGAUGUGAGGUGACUGUGAAAGACGGCAGGCAGGAGUGAUCUGGGGAGGUUUCUACUCUCAGAUAUCUUGCAAAAUAUCUUUAAAUUCUCAUUCCAACUUCGGGAAAGAAACGUAAACCACAAAUUGUAGAUUACGCAUUACUCAUUACAGGUAUGGUUUUGACUGACAGUAAUAUGGGACUCCAAUUAGCUGAUGCAUCCUCAUAAAAGAAGAGCCUUAAUAUCACAUUAAAAGUUCAUCCACAGAUACCUAUGAGCUUAAAGAUGGAUUUUGUAGGUGCAAUAAUAUUGUUAUUACGUUCAUUUGUUUGAAUUUUUACCUUUUAGAGAUGCAGGCUGAAAUAUUAGGGAAUGAGUAAAAUUACAUCUGAGAUUGGCUUCAAAGUAAUAAUGCAGGCCAGGUGAGGUGGCUCACACCUGUAAUCCCAGCACUUUGAGAGGCCAAGGUGGGAUCACUUGAGGUCAGGAGUUCAAGACCAGCCUGACCAACAUGGUGAAACCCCAUCUUUACUAAAAAAAUACAAAAUUAGCUGGGCGUGGUGGUGCACACCUGUAAUCCCUGCUAUUUGGGAGGCUGAGGCAGGAGAAUCGCUUGAACCUGGGAAGCGGAGGUUGCAGUGAGCCAAGAUCACACCACUGCCCUCUAGCCUGGGUGACAAGAGUGGAACACCACCUCAAAAAUAAAAGUGAUAACAGUGGGAGGGCAGAUACAGAUGAAACAAACUUGGCUGUGAUUUGGUAAUUUUUGAAGCUGAAUGAUGGGCCCAUGAGGGUUUAUUAUACUAUUCUGCCUAAUUUUUGUAUAUGUUUAAUAUUUUCCAUAAUAAAAAGUAGAAAAAAAGUCAGAAUAAUAUGUGUUUAUAUAUCAUAAAUUAGAAUAAAAUGUUUAAAGUAUGCAUAUAUAAUUUUUAUAACUACUCUCUUAACCUGCUCUUUAAAAUUAACCAGCAGUGACAGCAUCAGAUAAAAGGGUUUUGGCUAUAUCAUUUUUUUAAGGGUAUAGAUACAGUAUGAUUGUAUUAUACUUAAAUAUGCUGGUAGAUGUAUCUGUAGUGAUGUCAGUUUUACCCCAACACAAGGAAACAUCACAGCACUUUUCUAAAAUCAAAUUUAAUUUACUCCAAGUCCCCAUCCCACCAGUGAUAAAAGUGUUCAUCUCAAGCAUUCCAGAGUUUCUUCUCACUCCAUCUAGUGGGCAUUCACUAAGGGAAAUUAUCAUUGCUCUCUUCCUCUUCCUCCUCCUCCUCCUCCUCUUCCUGGUCAAGAUAGUAACAAAACAACAAAACUCUACCAUAGAAACAGACCCCAUUCCUUUAUCCUGGUGCCAGAAGUCACCACUGCCCCUCCACAACUCAAGCUCCCAAAUAACUGCCUCCCUGCUCCCUUCUCUCUGUCCCCAGCCUUCACGCCAGGCACAUACAGGGAUGUAACUGACCUCCGUGAGGCUGACAAAGGCAGGUCAGGGCAUUCUGUCCAGGCACUUCUCAAGCAUCUCCAUGGACCUCAAUCUCCCUGUACAAGAGUCCAGCCCUGCCCUGCCACAGAGAGAAGCGGAGGACAGCCCACCUUCUUCUGAAAAAAGAUACAGCAACUGAACCUGCCUUUACAUCCAUCCUGGCUGGAUGGUACAUCUUCUCUAACACCCUGCUGAUAUAGUUUGGCUCUGUGUCCCCACCCAAAUCUCAUGUCGAAUUGUAAUCCCUACAUGUUGCAGGAGGGACCUGGAGGGAGGUGACUGGAUCAUAAGAUUGGAUUUCCACCAUGCUGUUCUCAUGAUAGUGAGUGAGUUCUCACAAGAUCUGGUUGUUUAAAAGUGUGUAGCACAUCCCCCUUCACUCUCUCUCUUCUACUGCCAUGUGAAUACAUGCUUGCUUCCCCUUUGCCCUUCUGCUAUGAUUGUAUGUUUCCUGAGGCCUCCCCAGCCAUGCCUCCUGUACAGCCUGUGGAACUGUGAGUCAACUAAACCACUUUUCUUUUUAAAUUACCCAGUCUCAGAUAGUUCUUUAUAGCAGUGUGAGAAUGAACUAAUACACCUGCCUCAUCCCAAGUUUGCCCUUCUCCAGAAAAGGUGGCUAACUCAGAAAGCUCUUGUCACUUUGAAGUAAGUGAAGCUCUUCCAUUUCUGGAGUCUUGAGGGCCCUCCCUUCUGAAAGCUUGUCUGUCCCUAAGCAUCUCUCCUAAUUACCUUUUUUUAGUCAAAUUUUGGUGGGGUUUUUUUUUUUUAUCAUUGAUAGUUUAGAGAAGUUCCUUUCAGCUUCACAAUUUAUUAUCAGUAUUAUCAUCCACACCUUCAGAAUGUCAGAAGCAUCUGAACCAGAGUGACUCCAUCUAGAAUAGGGGCUGUGAAAAUGAGGCUGAGACCUGCUGGGUUGCAAUCCCCAGAGAUUAGGCAUUCUUAGCCACAGAAUGACAUAGGAGGUCAGCACAAGAUAGUUCAUAAACACUCUGCUAACAAAACAGGAUACGGUAAAGAAGUCACCCAAAACCAUCUCCAAGAUGAUUAGGAAAAUGACCUCUGGUUGUCCUUACUGCUCGUUAUACACUAAUUAUAAUGCAUUAGCAUGCCAAAAGACACUCCCACCAGCGCCAUGACAGUUUACAAAUGCCUUGGCAACAUCGGGAAGUUAGCCUAUAUGAUCUAAAAAAGGACCCUCAGUUCCAUGAAUUGCCUGCCCCUUUCCUGGAAAACUCAUGAAUAAUCCACCCCUUGUUUAGCAUAUGACCAUGAAAUAACCACAAAAAUAGCCAACCAGCAGCCCUUGGGGCUGCUCUGCCAAUGGAGUAGCCACUCUUUUGUUUCUUUACUUACUCAAUAAAUUUGCUUUCAUUUUACUCUAUGGACUCGCCCCAAGUUCUUUCUUGUGCGAUAUCCAAGAACCCUCUUUUGGAGUCUGGAUCAAGACCCCUUUCCAGCAACAAGAAUUGUUAGCAAACUGGGGAAAACUUUUAUUCAGAUUCUUUCAUAUAUCAGCAGAAAAAUGUCAAGACAUUUCAAUUUUUCUUAAGUGUACCAUUCAGUGGUUUUUAUUAUAUUCCCUAAUUAUCUUUGAAAUGCAUUUCUUUGAGGCUUUGGGCUAUGAUUUCUAAGACUCUUCAAUUAAAUUGCUAAUUCCCUGGGAGAAGAAGAUGCAAGGCCAUCAUCUUUCUUGGAAGUAGACUUUGGUUUGGGGAGUAGGGGCAGAAAGGGAACUCCCAUGUGCUGAAUGUCUGCUGUGUGCCAUGCUAAGGAGACCCUUUCAUCACAUUUCAAUUAACUAUAGACCGGGGCACUCUCCUCCUCUAAAUCAUUCAAAGACCAGGCUGACAGAGACCUUAUCAGCUUUAACCCUGGGUGUCAUGGAGGUGAGUUGGUGGGAGGUUCCCAUGGGUGGUUUACAGUGCUGGGAGGUAGCUCUCACUUAUCCACCUGGUUUGGAGUAUGAGAGGAAGCUACUUAGUUGCAUGUGGUGUGGCUGUACAGGUCAGGUGCUCCCUUUCACGGGAGGCUUUCCAGGGCCACCAGCUUGUGCUGUGGCUGUGUGCCCCAGGACCAUGGACAGCCCAUGAUUCAGGCAGUGGGAGCUUUGCUAGCCACUGCUACGCAGAGCACUAGACAGCUGAGGUCAUGUCUGGGGUUCCUGGACCCACUUAUAUAUUUUUUAAAAAUCUAUUUAGAAAGUUUCCAGGCCAGGCAUGGUGGCUCACACCUGUAAUCCUAGUACUUUGGGAGGCCGAGGUGGGCAGAUCACUUGAUGUCAGGAGAUCGAGACCAUCGUGGCCAACACGGUGAAACCCCAUCUCUACUAAAAAUACAAAAAAAAUUAGCCGUGCCUGGUGGCAGGUGCCUGUAAUCCCAGCUACUUGGGAGGCUGAGGCAGGAGAAUUGCUUGAACCCUGGAGGUGGAGGUUGCAGUGAGCUGAGAUCACGCCACUGCACUGUAGCCUGGGUGACAGAGCAAGACUGUCUAAAAAAAAAAAGAAAGAAAGAAAAAGAAAGUUCCCCUUAUUUGCUUUGUUUAUUUGCAGGACUUGGCUAGAAGUAGGUCCCCAAAAAUAUCAUAGCUGUUACUAUUACUGCUGCUGUUAUUCCCCCUUUUCCACUCUUCUUUCCCCUCCUCUCAUGAAAGCCCUUCUAACCGCAAAGGUGAACUGGCUCCUCUCUGCCUUCCCACUAUUCAUUUAGGCUGCGAAUCAGCAGAUGUUCCUGGAGAUCAAGGGUGGGGACAGGGACUUUGAACAUGGAUGCCAGCAGGAGAGGCAUCCCGCCGACCUCCACCGCCUGGGGCCACCACCUGGUGCCAUGGAAAGAACCAUGCUUUUAAAGCGCACAGCGGUGGCCUGGCCUGGUUCUCUGGUUCUCCUAUUUAUUGUCUACAAAUGCUAGCUUAGCCGAGUCACUUCUCCUUGCUAGAUUUCAGUUUCUCCUUCCUGGAAAAGAAGAAGAUUGGACUAGAUAGGAUCUACUUUUCAGCCUUUUCAUUCAGCAGGUAUUUUGAGAGGGCCUGUUGUGUGCAUGGCCCCGGUCUAAGCAGUAGGUUGGGUAGAGCCGUGAGUGAGGCACACCAAGUCUUACCAGCUUUCUGAUUAGCAGAACAUUCUAGCAGCCUAGGUUCUUGGAUUUCUGAGGGUCCUUGGUGCAUUUCUCCAGCUCCUGAGGCCUCGCUCCUGGUUUCUGCUUGGGGGUACUUCCAGCUUCUGAGCCAAAGAUACUGAGACCAGCCUUGGGUGGUCUGCCCUUUGCAAAGAAAUUCACAGCUCACCAGGGUCAGGGGGUAAAUGUGACCAAACCCCAGUCACUCACUGCCUACCUCCCUCUCUGCCCCACAAUGGGGAUGCUGACGGGGCUGGGCACAAUGUAGUGAAUUCUUAUAAUUUAUGCUGCCUCAGGAUCCAUUUUGGUUUUUGUUGUUGGUUUUGUUUUUGUUUGUUUGUUUGUUUGUUGAGAUGGAGUCUCGCUCUGUCACCCAGGCUAGAGUGCAGUGGUGCAAUCUUGGCUCACUGCAACCUCCAUUUCCUGGGUUCAAGUGAUUCUCCUGCCUCAGCCUCCCGAGUAGCUGGGAUUACAGGUGCCCGUCACCAUGCCUGGCUAAUUUUUGUAUUUUUAGUAGACACAGGGUUUCACCAUGUUGCCCAGGCUGGUCUCGAACUCCUGACCUCAAGUGACCCACCCUCGGCAUCCAUUUUAAAUAUAAGCUUACUUUUCUCACACCAGAAGCAGGGCUCAGUUAUCCUUGACACAGUCUCUCCUGCUACACCUCCCCGCCGUCCUUCAAUGUCAUACACAGCUGCUCCCUGGUGCUCACCUCCCCACGGGACAGCUAGAGACAACCUAUUCAGCCCGCUAACUUUCACCCCCUACACAGACUGCAGAUAUGCCACAGUGACCCCCUCUCAGUCACAGCAUGACCUCCUGGAACUCAUGCCUGCUUGCUCUUUUGCAUUUAAACCCACCAAUUAAAAUUCCCUAUGGGAAAUGUGCAUGGAUAAUGCCCUGGGCUUCAAUAAAAGCCCUGAUGCAUAGGGGGCCCCCCACUUUCUCUUUCUUUGUGCACCCCCUGAUCAUUCCCUCUCUGUUGUGGAGGAGGGGCUCUAGGCAUGCCGUGAACUUCCCAAGACCUGUAAGUAAUAAAACCUUUAUUUCUAUCUUGUGUCUCUCCUAAUCGUUGAAGGGGCAACCUCUAUUAUAAAGACCUGAAAUUAAAACACAUGGGAAGCAGUGGCUCUGAGCUUGGGGAGCCAGGUUCCUGACUGUCAAGCCCUUGCCACAGCCAAGAGGUUGCUCAGGGGCUGCCAGGGGUGGGUGCAGAUUCCCACACAGUUACCUAGGAGAAAGGCAUCAAGAGGGAUAGAAGGAAUGUACUCCGGGAAGGCCAGCUUCAAGGGCAUGAGGUCAUGAGCCACCCAGACUGAGGACAGCCCUAUGGGGACAGACAGAUGACAGAGUGGGUCCUGAAAAACUGUUCUUGUAUCCACUGUAAUGGGCUGGCUAGCUUGUGGCCAACCCAAAUUUCUCAGGCAUGCACCAAGAAGAAUGGACCCAAUGAAUAAAAGCUGUGGCAGCCAGAUCUCAGAGCACAAAAUCCAACUCAUGCCAAAUUCAUAUCCGCUGUACAUUUAGAAGGACCAUAGCAUCGCAGUCAAGAUCAUAAGCAUUGCGGCCGCUUGCCUGGGUUCAGAUUCUGGCUUUACCACCUGCUAGCUGUGUGAUUCUGGACAAGUUACUUAACCUCUCUGUGCCUCAGUUUUCUCAUCUACAAAACAGAGAUAAUAAUAAUAACUCCCACCUAAUAGGGUUGACAGAAGAGAGACAGACCCUCUCAUAUUGUCUUAUAUUGUUUUAUACUCAGUACCUGUUUUAAGAAAAAACAACAAGGAAGUAAAACCAAAGACAGGCAGCCCGGCGCCAGGCCCGAAACCUGGCUUGGGCCUGCCUGGCCUAAAGCCAGUAGUUAAAAAUCAACUCAUAACUUAGAAACCGAUGUUAUUCAUAGAUUCCAGACAUUGUAUAGAAGAACAUUAUGAAACUCCCUGCCCUGUUCUGUUUCUGUCUGACCACCUGUGCAUGCAGCCCCUGUCACAUACCGCCUGCUUACUCAAAUCAAUCACGACCCUUUCAUGUGAAAUCUUUAGUGUUGUGAGCCCUUAAAAGGGACAGAAAUUGUGCAUUCAGGGAGCUCGGAUUUUGAGGCAGUAGCUUGCCGAUGCUCCCAGCUGAAUAAAGCCCUUCCUUCUACAACUCAGUGUCUGAGAGGUUUUGUCUGUGGCUCGUCCUGCUCCAGGGUUAUGGUGAGAAUCAAAUUGCUAUUAUAUUGUAUUAGAACAGUGAACAGCACAUAGUCAACGCCACCACAUAAGUGGUGUUGCUACUUCUUUGUGACAAUCACCCCUUAUUUUAUGUAGCAUAUAAAGCUUACAAAUUCCCUCCAAAUUCAUUGUUUGAAACACAAACUUGUUGACUUUGUUCAUUCAUCCACUAGAUUGUAAGUGUUAUGCAGGUAGGGAAAUGUUAGUUGUUUUAUUCACUACUGUGUCCUUGAAGCCCAUGACAGUGCCUGACACAAAGUAGUUGCUCAAUAAAUAUUUGUUGAUUAGAUGGAUAGAUAGAUGGGUGGAUGAAUUCAACAAACAUUUAUAGAAGCCUAUUAUAUGCCAGGCACUGAGGAUUCAAAGGUUAAAAACCGUGGUACUUGCCCUUUGAAAAAGACUUGAAUUGACUCAUAAUUCACUUCUAUAAUGAUGAAAUGCAUUACUCUGGAAUUAUCAGCCAUGAGAGUGGUGGUACUCAGUGCUGAUUUUGCCCCCAUAACCUGAGGAACUAGACACAACUCAAGCAGGGAUAGUGGCCCUACAUCAGGGAGCCUUCCCCCAAAAGGCUGGAGGGAGGGAAUGGUAGGCACGUGCCCUGAAAAUCACUGUCUUGUUGGCUCUGUUGGCGAUAUGAAUGUCUAUCAUCUAUCUGGUACUAUGAUGGUUUUUUGUUUUUUUUUUUUUGAGGCAGAGUCUCGCUCUCGCCCAGGCUGGAGUGCAGUGGCGUGAUCUUGGCUCACUGCAAGCUCCGCCUCCUGGGUUCACGCCAUUCUCCUGCCUCACCCUCCCAAGUAGCUGGGACUACAGGCGCCCGCUACUAUGCCCAGCUAAUUAUUUUGUAUUUUUAGUAGAGACGGGGUUUCACCAUGUUAGCCAGGAUGGUCUUGAUCUCCUGACCUCGUGAUCUGCCCGCCUCGGCCUCCCAAAGUGCUGGGAUUACAGGCGUGAGCCACCACGCCCAGCCCUAUGAUGGAUUUUGUUUUGUUUUUUACUAUUGUGUCUUAAAUGAACUGGUUCCACAUUUCCAUGUCAUCCUCUCUGCCCUCAUCUUUUAAAGUCUAUUUAAAAAACAGACUUCCCAAAAAGCUGUGGCCUGAGCUUUUUGUAUCAUCUAUAACACACUGUCCCAUACUGUCAUUAUGUCCAAUAGAGUUUUCAUACAGUGAAUCUGAACAAAUCCCUCUCUCCCUAGACACAGUAGGAGGGAAUGGUAGAAGAUUCCCUUUCCCCACAUCAUUGCUCCUCUUGUUUUUUGGCAUUGUGGGUAAAGCAGGGACUUGGGAAUUGAGGCUUGAGUUUAAAUUCCAGGUGUGCAUUAAGUAAAUAAAAAUCAAAACUACAAGGAGAUACCACUUCACAGUCUCUAGGAUGACUGAAACAAAAAGACAGACGAUGAGUGUUCGCAAGGAUGUAGAGAAGCUGGAACCCUCAGACAUUGUUUGUGGGAAUGUACAAUGCUACAGCUGCAUGGAAACCAAUCUGACAGUUUCUCAAAAAGUUAAACAUGAAGUUACCGUAGGACCCAGGUAUAUACCACUCCUAGGUAUAUACCCAAGAGAAAUGAGAACAUGUACUUCCACACAGAAAUCUAUACACAAAUGUUCAUAGCAGUGUUAUUCAUAAUAGCCAAAAAGUGGAAACAAUCCAAAUGUCAAUCAACUGAGGAAUGGAUAAUUAAAACUUGGUAUAUCCAUACGACAGAAGAUAAUCAUUCAUCCCUAAAAAGGAAUGAAGUUCUGAUACAUGGAUUGACCUUGAAAAUAUUAUGCUAAGUGAAAGAAGCCAGACACAAAAGGCCACAUGUGAUUCCAUUUCUAUGAGAUGCCCAGAAUAGGCCAAUUCACAGAGACAGAAAGGAGAUAGUGGUUUCCAGAAGGAAAGCCAUCCCCAAAAUGCAUCUGGUUUAAACAUGGUCAUCUUAUUAAGUUCUUACCAUAGCCUGGAAAAAAAAAUACAAUUCUAUUUAAAACUCACCAGGGAUUGCCUGGUUAAAGGAUUCAUUAUAGAAACUCUUCCUGUGUUAAGAGCAUAAUUACCUACUAAUUUACCUUCCACUCCUCCGGCCUAAUUUUCCCAUCAUGAACUUGUUUCAAGCCAGCUGUUGCUGUAUUCUGACAUAGGUGCUGUGCUUAGUAUGAGUGGGCAUCAUGCUGCUGACCGCCUGCUGGUGAAAACGUUUCAAAGCAUUCUGCCAAGUUUUAAACAAAGCCUCAAAUGAAACCUGCCUCUCUGACUGUAUCACUCUCAGUGAUAAAUUGGCUUCCCCCACCCCCCCCCACCUUCUUUUGAAGGUGUCCCUGAACGAAAUCAAAUAAUAACAGGCUCCAUCUCAAAAGCCCAAGUAAGGAGGCAGACAAUAAUCUUUCAUCAGAAUCCUAUUUUUCAAACCAACAUUUAGCCUGCAUAAAGCUCUCAAUGGGGCAAGACCCGGAAGCAGGGUGAUGGGGAGAAGAGCAAGGCCCAGAGGACAGUUUGGAGGCAGAAGCUCAAUAGUGGAGUGUACUCCUCCUGCCAGGCCGACAGGUGCUUCCCGUGGAAGGAGCUGAUGCCAGCAUGAACCCCUUCCCUUCCCUGGAUGAUGGCUGGUGAAAGGCAACGCCUGACAAAUCCUCCAGGAAUAGAAGAAUCCUGUAGGGGCCAAUGGAUUGAAUGGAAGGAAUGCUACAGCACCAAGGAGCCUAGCAAUUGUUCUCCAACCAGAAAACUUGUUUUACAAAUUGGGGAACAGCAUUUGUGGUGAGGAAAGGGAGAGUCUUCCCCCCAGGCCACAGGAGAUGGCAGGGAAAGAAACAAUCAAGAGCUAAGCCACCUGUGGGGAUUUGUAGUGGGGCCCACAAGGGCCAUUAGCGGGAAACACAGUGCGAGGCUGUUUACCUCUCAGUUCAUCCCCAAGCCUUCUGAUUGUCUUAAAGAAAAAGCCUUAUUUGGAGGUGGUCUCUCUUUAGGAUUGAACAUUUGCUAUCUCAAUUUUGACAUGGACCACGACACCGGCAGUAGUUCCAAGCUAGGAUGAACACUGGUUGAGUUUGCUGUGGUGGGUGUAGUGAUUGUUAAGGGUUAUCCUCUAUUUAUGAUUCAUGAUUAUUCUUUCUUUCCCUUAUGAUAUUGAUUUCAAGUUUUCCUUAAUCAUAUAGCUAUUUGUGUCCAAAACGUGGUCACAGAUAGGUCAAAAAUCUGAAAGAGGAGUGAGAAACACUAAUCUAGUCGAAACCUAUACUAAUGGUGUGAAUCGCCAAUCCAUUCCUCUUUUGAAACACACACACACACACACACACACACACACACGCACGCACGCUCUCAAGGGGCCUUUACCCAGUGAACCAAAAAGGUUUCCCUUUCCACAUGUGUUCCAUGAGGAGAUUCCCUGCCUAUCACUUUCUUGCCUUGCCAAGGUGCAUUUUCAUGGAUCCCUGUGUUCUCCCUGCUGCCAGAAGUGUCCCUGGUCCCCUCCCAUACUGAGCCUGCUUCCUCCCCAUCAGCUUCAGGAACGCUGCUCCCUCCUGCAACUCUGGGGGUCAGCUCCCAGUUGCAUCCUUCCUGAGUCCCAUCCUCCCAGCUGCAGUGUCCUCAGCCGCCCACUCUCCCGCUUCCUGGGAUCCAGGUCACAAGGCCCUUUGCUUUCAUCUGGGUUUAGCUGCCUAUCAGUACACACUGAAGUGAUCACAACCAGCAGGCAUUGGGAAGUAAUAGUUCCCAAGCUGAGCAGACAAGUCCCCUCCUGCUGGGCACUGGAGUCAUCCCCCACCCUUUGAUGGCUCAGGAAGACUCCAGCACUGCACUGCGACACUUAUCCCUCUCUGCUCCUUCCUCCCACCUCACUCCAGUGGGGCCCCUUUCUUCACCCAGGAAAAGUCAGUUCAGGUCCUUCCCCACCAGCUCAAAAGUCCCUAGAAUCGCAGUUCCUUUCCUCCUGGUUGGCUCUCAGCACACAGGUGCCUUCUCUGGCCACCCCCAGGGAUGGUAGGACUGGGAGGGGCUGGCCUGGGGGCAGCUGGGAGCACUUAGGAUUUUCCAAGCUUUGGUGUAGCAUCUCUGCAAACAGGUGGGUUGGGCUUUUCCUUCUAGAAACUUUUUUCAUCUCCACUGAAGCAUAAAGGUAAAGUGUGAUUCUUUACCCCUUUCCAGAAUUUUAAGCCAAAAGCUCAGAGCUCCCACUUUGCAGCUUACAUUUGAUUCAAAUCAUGCAAUCCCCACUCCAGGAUCAGGACCACCAGUCACCAAGCAGCCUGGGUGGAUAUGGCCUUAGACUGUAUCCUCAGGGCCAACUCCAGCUCGGAGGACAGUCCUUAGAAGGUGGCAGCCUCUCUCUCCUGCCCCCUGCCAUCCACCUGGCUACCCUGCAAACAGUGGCUGAAAGCCUGCAUUGAGAAUGCCAGUCAUACACUCCUAGAAAGGGACACAGUGGGGACUAUGGCCUGAAUAUCUGUGUCUCUCUAAAAUUCCCAUGUUGAAACCUAAUCACCAAGGUGUUGGAAUUAGUAUUCGAACAUAGGGCUUUGGAGAGGUGACUAGGUCCUGAGGGCUUCUCCUUCAUGAAUGGGAUUAAUUACCUUAUAGAAGAGGUUCGAGGUUGUUCACCCCUUUGCCUUUUGCCCUUUUGCCUUGUGCAGACACAGCAAGGGGGAAGCAGGGGGCAGCCCUUGCCAGACACCUAAUCUGCUGGGGCCCUGGUCUUUAUAAAUUACCCAGUCUCAGACAUUUUGUUAUUUUGUUAUAGCAGCAGGAACACACUAAGACAGAGAGAAAUAUGUCCAGCCCUUUCCCAAUGGGUCAGAUCUAAACAGAGGAAAGUGGAAUAGUGUAGAGGAAAGUGGCUCCCCAAAGGCAGGCCAUCUUCAAGCCCCAAAGACUGGCUGAAGCCUAGGUUGCCUUUUAGAUGUAGGAACACCCAGUGAACUGAGGAGAGAGGCUGGAAAUUGUUAGUCCCAAGACUCUCUGGUGAAAAAUGGUGCAAGCUUUCAGGGGACCCUUAGAAAUGCCAAUCAAAGUCUUUCACAUACACAGAAAGCUAAUUUAUGGCUAAAAGAAUGAUCAAAACAGCAGUUUCCUCUGGAAAUGGGGGUAGAGACUGAAUUAGAAUGGGACAUGAAAGAACUUUCCAGGGUGAUGGCAAGAUUCUGUACCUUGAUUUUGUGUGUUGCAUUGUAAGUUUUAUCUCAAAAGAAAAAAAACUGUAAACAAAUAUUAAAUUAUAGAGCAGUGCAGUCUAAUAGAAUGUUCUGCAGCAAUGAAAAUGUUCUACGUCUGUUUUGUCCAAAGGCUAGCCACUAGCCACCUGUGGCCAUGGAGCACUGGAAAUCUGGCAACUGAAUUCAGUGCUAUUUCACACAGACUCUCACCCUAUGGCUUGGGCAGGGCCAUGGUGAUUUCUCAUAAAUACAAAGGGGCAUUCUUGGGCACACAGUGGUUAAGGGACUCAACCAAAGUCACACACAGCAGCAAGAUGGCCAAAGCUGGAAGUCUCUGAACCUCCCACUUCUCAGGAGUGAGCUUGUUCCCCUCACCUCCCAGGGAGAGACCCCUUAGAACUGAAGUAAAGAGAGCUCACUGAAGGGUAGAAAAGCCUGAGAGCCUCGGCAGAUGCUAGAAAUCCCGAACUCUCGGCUCAGAGAGGGCACACUUCCCUUCCUGAAAGAGGACAGCUUUGGUCUAACAAUGAUACUCUAGUCCGUUUUUACACUUUAUAUUUUAGAAAGCUCUUUCACACGCCCACAGUCUCUCACUUCAUCCUCACAGCCUGGAAGAGAUCCUCCCUUCCUCCCUUCCCACCUCCCUCCCUCCCUCCUUUCUUCCAAGUGGUGGGCAACAAGUAACGACUAAGGGUAAAACGUUUAGGCUUUGGAGUUGGACUUCCAGGGCUUGAUUUCGAGUUCCCAAGCAGAUGACUUUAUAAAAUGGUGCAUUUUAACCUUUCUGUGUCUCUGUCAACUUGCAAAAUAGGAAUAAUAAUAGUAUUUGCCUUGCUGGGAUGGCAAGAGAAUUAAAUAAAAUAAUCCAUACCAAACCCCCUAUCAUCAUCAUCAUCAUCAUCAUCAUCAUCAUCAACUUAUUUAUUGAGCUAUGUACAUGUCAAAGUUGGAGCAGGAGCUGAGGCGAGGGGCAAGUUCAGAAGCCCACAGGAGGCAGAGUCCUGAUGAACUGAACUGAGCUGGGGUGGCUGAGACUUCACACUAAGGGAGGGCGGGUUGCCAACACGCUCUCCCCUCAGCCAGAGCAAGCACCUCAGCUCCAAAUUGUUUGCUCUCAAAGAGGGAUUGCCUUUUGCUCACAAAUCUCUCACCUGCAAAAGGUCUGCUUCCUGAGCCAACUAGGAGAUAAAUCACUAGGAUCAUCAUCAUCUUUCAUGUUCCAUCUCCCUUUGCCCAGCAAGCCCCACAAUGGCCUCUUCUAUUUAGAGGCUGCAGCCGAAGACAGAAGGAAGAUGCACAGGAUCAAAUUAAUGUUGGGAAAAAGGACUUCUGGCCUCCUAUCUUCUACUAGCCUAUUAGGUUGAGAGAUGGAAAAACCAAAACUGUGUGUGUGUGUGUGUGUGUGUGUGUGUGUGUGUGAGAGAGAGAGAGAGAGAGAGCAUUUACAUUUGCAGAACAUUAUACUUACAAGCUAAGUUGAUCCUUAUAAAUGCCUAGAAGGGCAGAUAUUUUUUCUUCCUACUUUUUGAGAUAAAGAAUUGAGUCAGAGAGGGGUAAACAAACUACCCAGGAGCAGCUGUAUUAAAACUCGUUGUGAGUUAGCAUCAUCCCAUCAAUUAUUAGAUGUCUGAAAUGUUGCUUGGAAAGAAAGCACCACCUUUGAUCAGGAAGGUCAUUGCUGAAGUCACAGCCAGGCAUCUGUCCAACAGGGUCCCACUGGCCUCUUUUUCUUUGGUCCCAUCCUCAGGCAUUGCCGAUCUGCCAUCCCUUCUAGAACAACCUCCCCCAAUUGAUGCAUGGCAUAUUAAAUGCUGGCGGGCAGACCAUUAGGUAGAACCCACUGUGCUGAGCCUGAGGCGGGAUGGCAGCAGGCUAGGGAGGGCAGCAGGCUGGGGAGGGCAGGAGCGGGGAGAAUUCAGAGCCACACAAAAUGCAGAGGCUGGCUUCAUGAAGGUAGGAGACAUCUGUGAGCUCAGAAACCAAGGCUCCAGUCUCAGCCAGCAUUCAAGUCCACAGCUGGGAAGAACAAUGUGUUCAUACUUUGGCUGUCAAGGAUAGAGCUUUGUAAGUUUAACUGAGACUUUGUGUCUUAAUUAUGAUAAUAGCUAUGAUCAUGGAGCUCAUCUUGUUUGCCAGGCCCUGUGCUAAAUGCCUUAUCUAGCUUAGAUUCUGUUGAGCCCCAUUUCCAUUGAUAGAUCCCCUGUGAAAUAGACACCACUCUCAGCACCAUCUUGCACAUGAGGAAGCUGAAGUGUGCCAGAAGGCUACCCAGCUCCUGGUAUAGAGGUGUAGCCAGAAUUUGAACCUAAGCAGUUUCCAGAGCCUCAUGCUGAACUGUCUGUGUAAGUCUCGCACCACAAAAGACCCUUUUCUGAGCCUGGGUACAUCUAACAUAUAUGUGGAAGUUUAGAUGCAUUUUCUGAGGCACUGCAUAACAAGUGGAACAUCUCAUUUAAAACCCGUAUGAUUCAUUUUAGCCAUGGAGAUGCAAAUAAAGCUUCUCUUUAUUCAGUUUACUAAGCCCCUGCUCACCUCUAACUGAAGACUCCGAAGACUUCGGUCACAUUUCUGUCCAUAACAUUGAUGUAAAUCAAAUAAACCAAAUUCUUGUCUAUCUGAACUUAUAGAAAUCACAGGCUGACUUCUGAGUCUUGAACUUCACUGUUUCAUUUUAUGGCACUUCAGAGGCUGGACAUCACACCAUAGUGGGGACAUAUUUCCUAAGGUAGAGGCCACUGGGCUUGAAAAAAGGGCUCUGUCCUUUUAGCAGCCAUGUGUCAGAGGGUAGGAGCUUCACCUCCUGCAGCCCAGUCCCCUGGUCCUGCCUGCCCAGAGCAGCAUCACCCUCAGUGUGCCAGGCACCUGUCCUGCCUUAUCUAAUUUGACCCACACAACAACCAUUUAAGUUAGGUACUAAUUACAACUUGCAUUUUACAGAUGAGGAUGCAGAGGCUGUGUAUUAGUCCAUUCUCACGCUACUAUAAAGAACUGCCUGAAACUGGGUAAAUUGAAAAGAUUCACAGUUCUGCAGGGCUGGAGAAGUCUCAGGAAACUUAAAAUCAUGGCAGAAGGAGAAGCAAACACAUCCUUCUUCACAUGGCAGCAGGAGGGAGAAGAAUGAGAGCAGAGUUAAGGGGGAGGCCCCUUAUAAAACCAUCAGAUCUCGUGAGAACUUACUCACUAUCAUGGGAAUAGCAUGGGGGAAAAUGCCCCUAUGAUUCAAUUACCUGCCACACACAUGGGAGAUAAUUGAAUGGUCCUUCCCAGGACAUGUGGGGAUUAUGGGGACUACAAUUCAAGAUGAGAUUUGGGUAGGGACACAGCCAAACCAUAUCAGGCCCAAAGGGAAAAAUGUUUUGUCUGGGGUUGGAUGGCUAAUCAGUGAUUUGGCCAUGUUCAUUCUAUACAAGCUCUGUCCUUGAACUACCAACAUGCCUGUGGAUAUUCUACAAAUGGAGGAGCUCUGCAGAAGGUAAGGGCCUAUCAGAAGCAUGUAAGCACGUCCAAGCUCCAAGCACUCGAGCUCACUGAGCUGCCUGGGUUCCUGCCUAAUCCUGUUCUCUCCGUCUAUUGGUCUGUCUAAUAAGUAUAGAAGAAAUAAGAGCUGGUUCAAUAGAUCAGGAGGGUGACUACAUUUUACAAUAAUUUAUUGUGCACUUCAAAAUAGCUAGAAGUGAAUAAUUUGAAUGUUUCUAGCAUAAAGAAAAGACAAAUAUUUAAGGCAAUGGAUAUCCCAUAUACACAGAUUUGGUCUUUAAAAAUUAUAUGAAUGGGCUGGGCGUGGUGGCUCACGCCUGUAAUCCCAGCACUUUGGGAGGCUGAGGCAGGCGGAUCACGAGGUCAGGAGAUAGACACCAUCCUGGCUAAUACAGUGAAACCCCGUCUCUACUAAAAAUACAAAAAAUUAGCCGGGCGUGGUGGCAGGCACCUGUUGUCCCAGCUAUUCGGGAGGCUGAGGCAGGAGAAUGGCGUGAACCUGGCAGGCAGAGCUUGCAGUGAGCCGAGAUCGCGCCACUGCACUCCAGCCUGGGCAACAGAGCAAGACUCCGUCUCAAAAAAAAAAAAAAACUAUAUUAAUAUAUUAAAUUACCAUAUGUACCCCCUCCAAAAAAGUAAAAUUUUAAAAAUGAAUUUAAAAAUAAUUUUUUAAAGAAAUAUAGAAGGAUCCAUCUCCUCUGGCUUUAACAGCUCACUUCUGCCUGAUGGUGGUGGUGUCUGGAAACACAUACUUUCCCAAUUCAUCAGCCAGCUGCAUGCAGCCCUCAACACAGGGCAAGGAUUUGAUGAGUGUUCAUUCAGGAACUUAUCAAUGUUCCACUCCUGUGGAGGUGAGGUCCUGCAGCUGGCAAUGCAUAGAGGCUCGGAUCAUUGGCGGCUGUCCAGGCACCCAGGCAGAAUGUUUCACAUCCCCAGCCCACGCUGGCAGAUCCAUGCAACUGCCCAGAAUGAAGUGAGUCCUGAACCACAACAGACAGGCCCAUUGUUGAGCUACCAUGGAUGGAGCUCAUUGAGGACUUGCCUCUUCCAGGACUGUGAGAGAGCUCCUCCUCCACAACCCUCAGCCCAUCUCAGCUUCUGUUAACCACCUUCACCCCCCAAUACCCUUAUAAGUGCACUUACAUGGCACUAGGCCCUAUCCUAAAUGCUUGACAUGUGUUAAUCCAUUAAUCCUAAUGACCCUUACCUGCCAUGCUAGGUUUACUGGAAAAAGCUCUGGUUUAUAUUGUAUCAGAUUAUAUCACAUCACAUUGUUCAAAUUGGUAAUACAAUUGCAUGGUGAAAAAUACAAGAGGGAUAAAAGAAUAUAAGUCAGUCCAUAUCCAGGUGGGCCAUUCUUCCAUGGCUUUAAAUGGAGAACCAAAGGGGCUUCUCCUUUCUUCCUUCAGUCCAGCCAGCUCUGCACUGACUUUCUGCCAGACUGUCAGCCCUUGGGGCAGGACAGUGGAGCCUGGGCUAAACUGAUAUUUCCCAAAGUUGGAUCUUUUGAGGACCUCUGUCUCAAUUUUUAUGCAUCCACAUAGUACCUUUACUUUUUAUUCUUUACUUAAGAAUUAGCUUCAGGCUGGGUGCAGUGGCUCAUGCCUGUAAUCCCAACACUUUGGGAGGCCAAGGCAGGAGGAUCGCUUGAGACCAGGAGUUUGAGACCAACCUGGGUAACACAGCAAGGCUCUGUCUCUAAAAAAAUUUAAAUAAAAAAAAUAGCUGGGCAUAGUGGCUCAUACUUGUAAUCCCAGCUACUUGGGAGGCUGAGGUGGGAGGAUCACUUGAUCCCAGGAGUUCGAGGCCAGCCUCAGCAACAUCUCUACUAAAAAAGAAAGAAAUGAUUCACAACACGGCUUAGUACUUGGUAAGUGUUAGCUACUACUUACGGCAUAUCCCUUGCCAUAAGUAGGAGAUAACUGAAAAAAAAAACACAAUGAAAACCAAACUAUUAAUUAAAAAAUUAACUAAAGACUACCUGCCCAAAGACAAGUUUUCUCCUUGUCAAAAUUCGAGAUGAACCAAAGUUAGAGAAGUCAUCAGCAGUGGUGAGGAGAAUUGAAAGGGGAACAGCAAUCUUGCCUCAUGAUACACUCUUAUUCACUGCCCUUCCUGCCUUCCAUCUAGAUCCACCUUUCAUGGCAUUUGUGCCCCUUGGUCCACACUCUGGGGAAUGCUGGGCCAAGCAGUAGUUUCAUGGGAGAUGGAGGAAGAACCGUCUCUCCAGGGAGAAGGCUGUUGAUUCCACAAGAGGCUUUUACAAACUAGCUGUCCCAACUCCUUCCCCACCUACCUCUCCCUGGUUUUGCUGUGUCUAUCUUCCCUGUGUGGGAAUUAUAGUGUCUAAUGAAAGCUGUUAUUUAUGGAAGAGUGUUCUCACAUGAAGAGUCUAGAGGCAAAAAGGGCUUGAGACCAGUGUAUGAAGAGGAACUUUGGCCCAUAGGGAUUGAGAUGGCAUCUUAAGGGUUCCUUUUAAGCCUGGAAACUGGACUUUGAAAAAAAAAAAGUGGGAGGUGGGGGGUUCCUUGCACAUUCUGCAGUAUUUCAGAAAGAUUUCAUGUUCACUUUCUUAUUAAGUUCUUGAUCAACCCAGUGAAAAAUUUGGGCAGAUGAUGAUGAAACCAAAACCCAAGAUGUCACAGCUCCCAAAGUUUGAGCUGAGGCAAGAAUCCAGGUUUCACCACCUUCUGCUCUUUGUUCCAAACUAAGAAGUCCCCUCUUGAACACUUGUUCAGUGGUAAAGGCCAUCAGAGUAUACCAUAAAACACCUUGAGAAUUGCUUUUAUGCAAUAAAUAUUUGAAUGAAUGAAUGUAUUCAUUCAGUUGGUGAUGAUCAAAGUGAUGAUCAAUAAGUAGCUUAUCAUUGCAUUUUUAUUACAUGCCAAGUAAUGGUUGCUAAGGAACUUACAUACAUUAUCUCAUUAAACCUACACAACAAUCCUAUAACAUAAAGAUUAUAGUUUAUCAUUUAGGAAUCAUGUUCAGCUGAUGGUGUAUGAAGUAGACUCCAGUGGCUUCAAACAAUAGUUUUAUUAGGGUAUGUGUGUCCUUGGGUCUGUGAGCACUUUCCAAAAUAAUUCAGGUAAAAUGGAUCUAAGAGAAUCCAUUUCCAGAACUAAACUUCCACAUUUACUCUUUCCCAAUGUCUCCUUUCCUAUGGCUCCUUUAAUAAUUUUCCUUCUCCUAGUUUACAAAAGAAAAGUGUAUCUCUCGCCUGUCUUGAAUCAUAGUAUGGUGCAUUGCUCAUGGAUGUCAAACAAAGGAACCAUUCAAAAUCUUGGUGUCACAAAGCCUCCCUUAAUCAAGGUACCAUAAAUCAAUGCUCUCAUUGCUACCCAAUAGCUCAUUAUUUUUCCCUUAAACACAUUUCAGUUAAGGGUGAAACAUGCUGUUAGAAAUGGGGUAUUUUGGACUAUACUGGGAUGUUUUGAAUUCAGACAUAUUGUAGAGUGAUGUUUAGGAGUGAUGACAAUUUUUAUUUAAUGAUAUCUCACCUCUUCCAAACUCUAAGUAUUGUCAAAGAAUACAUUGCUUCUGAAGGAAAGCUCAAUGAGUAAAGGGGGAAAAAAACCUGUCAGUGAAAAAUAUUGAAUGAAGCAGCAUCUUAUUUCAUUUGGUGACACAUUCAUGGCACCUUAUCUUUUUUACUUAGAAUUAAAAUUCAGAAGUGAGGUUUGCAUGGGAUUUUAUAUUAAUAUAUCUACUUGAGAUAAUAAUAACUGAUUACAUGUAUAUAUAAAUAUGGAGAAAUUUAUUGAGUUAUACACUUAGGAUUUUUGUAUUUUAUUUAUAUAAAUUAGACUUCAAUUUUAGAAUAUAAAUUAAAUCUGAUGCUAAUGGCAAAUUGAGAAUAUUUAACCAAUCUCUUAAGGAUGGCUUAAUUGAAAUAGAAAAUGGGGACGUAGUAUUUUUAAAAUCCCCUUUAAGCCAUAGGAGAACUACUAAAACAGUAAGAAACAAAAAACAGGUAAACAAAAAAGCUGGCCAAGAUCUAGGACAAGACAGAAAUUCAGAGAUGCAACUGGUGCCAUAGAGGUCGGUCUGCUUUUCUCCUGGGGACGUUUGAUAAUUCUGCCUGGAAAAGCCAACUAUAAGAAUGAGAGGCGAAGAGGCUGAAGAGUGCUUCUUUGUUGUUUGUUUGUUUGGUUUUUUUUUUUUUUUUGAGACAGAGUCUCACUCUGUCACCCAGGCUGGAGUACAGUGGCGCAAUCUCGGCUCACUGCAACCUCCGCCUCCUGGGUUCAAGCAAUUCUCCUGCCUCAGCCUCCCAAGUAGCUGGGAUUACAGGCGCACGCCACCAUGACUGGCUAAUUUUUUUUAUAUUUUUAGUAGAGACGGGGUUUCACCAUGUUGGCCAGACUGGUCUUGAACUCCUGACCUCGUGAUCCGUCCGCCUCAGCCUCCCAAAGUGCUGGGAUUACAGGCGUGAGCUACCGUGCCCGACCUGAAGAGUGCUUCUAUUACUUCACAAGACAAAAGGGACACAAGUUGGAUACCAAGGCCCACCAUAGCAGUGGUACCUAGGAGUAAAAGAGAAACAAAAUAGUCCCUGAAGCAACAUAAAACUUUUUCUUUGAGACAGUCUCACGCUAUCACCCAGGCACAAGGGCAGUGGCACGAUCGUGGCUCACUGCAACCUCUGACAGUCAGAUUCGAGUGACUCUCGUGCCUCAGCCUCCCGAGAAGCUGGGACUACAGGUGCAUGCCAUCACACCCAGCUAAUUUUUGUAUUAUUAGUAGAAAGAGGGUUUCACCAUGUGGGCCAGGCUGGUCUUGAACUCCUGGCCUCAAAUGAUCCCGCCGUCUUGGCCUCCCAAAGUGCUGGGAUUACAGGCGUGAGCUACCGUACCCAGUCUAAACCAGCUUUAACUAAUUUCAGUCUUUACAUCUGGAAUAAGGUGAUGCAGGAUAGCUGGUGCCCCCAAACAUCUGGCAGAAGCAAAAACAAAUCCUCUCUAGAAAAAGAAAACAUCCUCCUAGAUUAAACAUUAUCUUUUAAAAAACAACUUUUCAAAUACAAUUCAAGCACACAAUAAAAGAUAACCAGCCACAUAAGACAAGACAAUAUGAAAGAAAAGAAGCAGAAACAGGCCAAGCCCAGUGGCUUAGCCUGUAAUCCCAGCAACUUGGGAGGCCAAGGCGGACAGAUCACCUGAGGUCAGGAGUUCGAGACCAGCCUGGGCAACAUGGUGAAAGCCCAUGUCUACUAAAAAUACAAAAAUUAGCCAGAUGUGGUGGUGGGCACCUGUAAUCCCAGCUACUCAGGAGGCUGAGGCAGGAGAAUAGCUUGCACCCAGGAGACGGAAGGAGCAGUAAGCUGAGAUUGUGCCACUGCACUUCAGCCUGGGUGACAGAGCAAGACUCUGUCUCAACAACAACAACAACAACAACAACAACAACAACAAAAGCAGCAGCAGAAACAAUAAACACUAGAAACAGACCCACAGGGGCUCCAAAUACUGGCAUUAUCAUAUAUAGACUUUAAAACAACUAUACUGUGGAAGGAGAAUUGUGCCACCAUGACCAAAUACAAUGUGUAGACCCUGUCUGGAGCCCGGGUUGAAAAAAAAUUAAAUUGUUAAAGAGUUGUAAAGCUAAUCUGGGAAUACUGAAAAUUGAAGGUGAACAAGGUAGUAGGUGACAUUAAGGAAUCAGUAUUAAUAUCACUUAGUGUGAUUUUGUGGUUAUAUAUAUAUAUAUAUAUAUAAAUGUAUAUAUGUAUAUACGUUUUGUGUGGGGGGGGGGGGUGUUUUUUUUGUUUGUUUGUUUUUUUGUUUUUUGAGAUGGAAUCUUGCUCUGUCACCCAGGCUGGAGUGCAGUAGGGCAAUCUCGGCUCACCGCAACCUCCACCUCUUGAGUUCAAGUGAUUCUCCUGUCUCAGCCUCCCAAGUAGCUGGGAUUACAGGCACAUGCCACCAAACAAGCUCAUUUUUGUAUUUUUAGUAGAGAUGGGGUUUUACCAUGUUGGCCAGGCUGGUCUUGAACUCCUGACCUCAAACAAUCCACCCACCUCAGCCUCCCAAAGUUCUGGGAUUACAGGCAUGAGCCACUGUACCCAACCAGUUAUAUAUUUUUUAAAGUUCAUAUUGGUUAAAGAAAUACGCUAACAUCUUGGGUUUGCUUUUUUUAAUUAUAUAUAUUUUUAGAUGGGGGUCUAUGUUGCCCGGGGUGGACUCAAACUCCGGGACUCAAGUGAUCUUCCCAUCUCAGCCUCCCAAGUAGCUAGAACUACAAGCACACACCAGCAUGCCUGGCUCUUUGAAUUUGCUUUAAACUACAAUUCAAAUUUAAAGCUUUAGAUUGCUUUAAAGUAAAGAAGGAAGCGGAAGUGAAAGAGGAAGAAGAAAAGGAAGAAGAGGAAGAUGAUGAAGGAGGAGAAGGAGGGGAGCAGAAGCAGCAGCAAUGGGGGAGGGAGUAAGGAAUACAUUUUGUAAAGGAAUUAAAGAAUAUUGAUCGUUAUUGAAGCAGAGUGAAUACACAGAAAUUCAUUAUACUAUUUUUUCCGCCUGUGCAUAUUUAAUACACAGAUCCAUACACAAAUUGUUCAUAAUUUAAAAGUUUUAAAAAUUCUGUGCUUCCUGUGUAUAUGCAGAUAAAAGGAAAAAAAAAACAAUGUCAGCAAAAUCCAGAAACUAUACAAAAAGACACACCAGAUUUGGGGGAAAAAAAUGGGAAUUCUAGAAUUGAAAAACACAGCAAGUAAAAAUUGCUUAAAAUUGUGUUCAUUGAGAUUCUAGAAGAUAAUAUGAGAAACUACCUUCAUAGCCCCAGUGUAGGGAAAAAUUUCCUCAUCAGGACACAAGAAGAACUACCAAUGAGGAAAAGCUUGUUACUCAGACCCCAUUAAAAAAAGAAGUUCUUGUUCAUCAAAAACAACCAUUUAAAAGUAAAAAGACAAAUCACAGAGUGGGAGAAAACAUUGUAAUACAUGUAAGUAUUAAUGGGAUCAUAUCCAAAAUAUAAAAAAGAACUCCUACAAAACAGCAAGAAAUAAAGAUUGCAACAGAUAAAUGGCAAAGUCUUAACAGGCAACUCACAGGAAGAACUAAGUCUCAUUCAUUAUCAGAGAAAUGCAAAUUAAAACCAUGGUGAGCUACCUCCAUGUGCCCUCCAGAAGCUACAUAAAAUGCAAAGGUAUAUGCAGGAGUUACAAAGAAGGUACAAAUGUGUGGUCUUUGAGCUGAUGAACCUAAGUGUGGGUGAGGACGUGAAGCAACAAGCAGUCUCCUAUGAGUAGGAGUGCAAUUUGGGUACAACCACUUUGAAAAACAUUGGCACUAUAUACUGUAAUUGAAGACAGACAUGUUCUAGAAUUCAGCAAUUCUACUUCUAGGUAGAACAGAAAUGCAUAUUCAUAGCAACAUGAUUCAUUGUAGUACCAAACUGGAAAUAACCUAAAUGCCCAUUAACAGCAGAAUGGGUAAAUUUAUUGUACUAAUUUUAUACAAUGGACAACUGUAGCAAAAUGAAAAUGAACACAUGUAAGUAUAUGUAUGAAUUUCUCAAACACAAUGUUGCAACACAAAAGGAAACAUACAGUAAGAUUUCCAUUUAUAAAAAAUUCAAAAUUAAGCAAAAACUAACUGUAUUGUUUAGGGAUAAGUACAUGCAUGGUAAAAUUAUAAAGAAGAAAAGCACGCUUACCAUAAAGUCAGGAUAGUGGUAUCCUCUAGCAGGAAGGGAGGGAAGUGUGAGUGGGAAAGGAGAGGAGCUGCGCUUUCUAGGAUGCCAGAAAAGAGUGAUAGUUACAUGCAAUGAGAACACAUGGACACAGGAAGAGGAACAUCACACUCUGGGGACUGUUGUGGGGUCGGAGGAGGCGGGAGGGAUAGCAUUAGGAGAUAUACCUAAUGCUAAAUGACGAGUUAAUGGGUGCAGCACACCAACAUGGCAUAUGUAUACAUAUGUAACAAACCUGCACGUUGUGCACAUGUACCCUAAAACUUAAAGUAUAAUAUUAAUAAAAUAAUAAUAAUAAAAAAGAGUGAUAGUUACAUGGAUGUUGGCUUUUGAUUAUUUGUUGACUUGUAAAAGUUUGCUUAGUGCAAUUUUCUGAAUGUGUGUCAUAUUUCAAAAUAAAUAAUCUUGACUCAUUGGUUUGGCAAUAAGAACUAGCUUUACCAUCUAGGAUAUUUGGUGGACAUUUUCCAAUGUUUGGAUGAAAAUAUGUUUAAAGCUGGCACUCAGACAAAAGCAUUCCAUCAAAAAUAUUAUGCUGAUAAAGGUAAAUUGAAAUUUAUGUUUGGAUAUCUCCCAACACGUUUUGUGAAUAGCAGUUUAAACAAGUGCCCCUGUGUAAAGGAAUGAGAAGGUAAUUAAUAGUCAUUUGAUAGGUUUUGGUGCAUAGCCUUUUUGAUACAAUUCCCAGAAACUGAGAACGUGAAUUACUCUAACGAUUGGGUUGCAAAUCCUAUGAAGCCAAUGAUUUCUAAUUCCUUGCUUUCAAGAAAAUUAAAGGAAGGCUUAAUCAAACUAUUAGCUGACAGAAUAUUAAAAAUGGUUUUGAUGAUAUAUCAUUAUGCAAUUUUAGCAUGCAAUUCAUAAAAAGUUCAAAGAAUCAUGACAGUGCUAUAAUAAAACAUAUUCCAUUUUUAUUUACUUAUUUACAUGAACAAGGUUUCUGAGUGCUAACAUCUACAAAAACAAUUAAUAGGAAGACUAGCUGAAUCCUGUUUCAUUCUAGCAGUAUGUAAUAUUCAACCAUGAAUGAACAAACCAAUUAGUUGAAGAAAAAUACUCCAUUCAUCUCAUUAAGAAAUGCAUUUCUCAAUUUAUGUUUAUGUUUAUUAUUUAUAAAAUUUUAAAAUACUUUUUUCUCAAUUGUAUAUUCAUUAAAAUUGUAAUGUAGCUUAAUUUGGACAAAAUUUUAAUCCUCAGAGAUGUAUGGUCGCACAAAAUAAGAAAGGAUUUUAAUGUAUGUGUUCCUGUGUAUGGAAUUUUAUUGUAGAAACAUUGGCAAAUGUAAUCUAUAAAAGACUUUCAAGCAUAAAAGUAUGUUAGGUUGAAUUCCUAUAAGAUACACAAAAUGAAAAUAAGAGUUCAAGCAGAAAAAUGAACGAUCUAAAAUUAAACCGUUAAAGGAGGUUUUGUUCAUGGUUUUGUUUUUUGUGUUUUUUCUUUGUUUGUUUUUGUUUUUUUUGAGACAGCAUCUUGCUCUGUCACCCAGGCUGGAGUGCAGUGGCAUGAUCUUGGCUCACUGUAACCUCUGCCUCCCGGGUUCAAGCGAUUCUCCUGCCUCAGCCUCCUGAGUACCUGGGACUACAGGCGUGCACCACCAUGCCCAGCUACUUUUUGUAUUUUUAGUAGAGACGAGGUUUCACCAUGUUGGCCAGGAUGGUCUCAAUCUCUUGACCUCGUGAUCCACCCGCCUCGGCCUCCCAAAGUGCUGGGAUUACAGGCGUGAGCCACUGUGCCCGGCCUUAUUCAUGUAUUUUUAAGUAGAUGAUAGUGAAUAUCAGAUUAUUAUAAAAUUUAUAUUUCUUUGAAUACACUUUGUUUUUUGAGACAGGGUCUCGCUCUGUCACCUACGCUGGAGUGCAGUGGUACAAUCAGGGCUCACUGCAGCCUCGAGCUCCUGGGCUCAAGCGAUCCUCCCAUCUCAGCCUCCUGAGUAGCUGGGACUACAGGUGUGAGCUGCCACACCCAGCUAAUUUUUAUAUUUUUUGGUAGAGACAGGGUUGCCCAUGUUGUCCAGGCUAGUCUCGAACUCCUGAGCUCAAGCAAUCCUCCUGCCUCGGCCUCGAAAAGUGCUGGGAUUACAGGCAUGAACCACUGCGCCCAGCCUCCUCUGAAUGCACUUUAAAGAAUGAUGUGACAGUUUUAGAAUGUUAACAGUUUCAGUAAGUCAGAAUUACAUUAUUUGAAACUAUUUAAACUUAUUAAGAAUUUUAGAUUUCAACUUUAAAAUGUGCAUAAGGUACAUAGUUUUUAAAGCCUAAUGGCUGAAACAGACUAAUGGUUUAUUCUCUGACAUAAAAGAAGUUGGAGAUAGACAGGUUAUGCUUGUGUGGCAGCUCCUUGAAACUAUGAGAGGCUCAGGAUCCUUCAGUCCUUCUAUUCUGCCAUCCUUAGAAGGUGGCUUCUACCCUCAAGGCUACAUUAUGGCUACUGGAGCUUCAGCCAUCAUGUCAUGUCUGGGGAUCCCAGAGAAGGGACACAAUAGCUUUUACCAGGACUCCUACUGAGCCACGUCCCACUCCUAUCUGUCAGGGAGCCUAGAAAAGAACUUUUUCUACUGGGCAUGUGGCCAAGAGCCCUGUUACCACAGGAGAAGAUGAGAAUAUACACUUGGCAGGCAAUUCGCAGUCUUAGUCAUGUAGAAUAUGACUCCAUUUUUAUUAAGUUGUACACUUACAUGUGAUUUUAUGCAGUGUUACAUUUGGAAGGAUGUUUACCAAUGUAUUUGUGGUUUAUCAUCGGAUAGGAGAUCUCAGUUUACUUUUACUUACUUCUCUGAACUUUUCUACAUUGAAUUUUUUGAUAGACAUGGUCAUCCUUUUUUUCUUUACCUUUAAACAACAUGGGUUUGAACAUGGUCAUUCUUACAAAAACAUUACAGAUAUGCUCAUAUUUUAAAAAGAGGUAAACUGGGAAAAAGAAAAAUUAGAGACUUUGCAGUCAACAACCUGAGUUUAAAUUCCACUCUGCAAUAUAAUUUAGGCAUAUAACUUAAUCUCUAUGGACCUCAAUUUCCACUGUAUAACUAGGUUAUAGCCUCCAACAGUAUUAGAAGUAGAGGUCAUAUUUUCUUCUUUUGUUUUAUAUAUCAAAAUUUAGAAGUCCCAUUUACUGGGAGUGUCUUCAGAGAGCACAACAGAUAUAUGUCCCAAUUCGGGCCCAUGAGAUACAAGGGUAGGUUUGGUGGAUGCUUCGGGGAAACUGCUCCUCCUUCUCAAGAGUCUCUCUUACCGGGGUUGUUGUGAGAACCUAUGAAUCCUGAAGCCACCACAGCUCAAGCCUCAGGAUGAAGCCAGCACCAGGAGAAGGACAGAGCUGAGAGACACACAGAGAAACCAUAGUGUCAAUGUGUCCAGUCUGGACUUUUCACUUAUAGGACCCAAUAAAUCUCCUUUAUUAUUUAAGCCAGUGCUAUGGUUUGAAUGUUUGUCUCCCCCAAAAUGCAUGUUGAAAUUUAAUUGUAACAGUAUUAAGAGGGGAGGCCUUUGAGAGGUGAUUAGGCUGUGAGGGCUCUGCCCUCAUGGGUGGAAUUAAUGUCCUUAUGACAGGGCAUAUUUGGUCCCUUUUGUGUUUCUGUCUUGCCCUGUCUUUGUCCUCCCACCUUCUGCCAUGUGGUCACACAGCAAGAAGGUCCUCGUCAGAGGCCAGCACCUUGAUCUUGGACUUCCCAGCCUUCAGAACUAUGAGCCAAUAAAUUUCUGUUCAUUAUAAAUUAUCCAGUCUCAGGUAUUCUGUUAGAGCAGUGUAAAACAGACUAAGACAGCCAGUCUUGGUUUUGUUUUAUUUUGCCUGUUUGCUGCAAGCAUCCUAAUCGCUAUUCAGCUUAAAAUUAUGUAAAAUUACUUUUAUUUAUAUUAUCUUAUUUGAUCCUGACAAAAAACCUCUCAAAGUGGUCAAGAGUUAUAAUAGCUGAGGAAAUUGAGAGCCAGGAUGUUGAAUGCUCAACAUCACAUGAUAGAAAAAUGGUGACAAGGAUGGGACUCAAACCCAAGUUUCCUUGGUCUGAGUUCAGUUUCCUUCUCAUUGGGCCAUAAUGCCUGCAAGGAUAGGCAAGCAGAAGGUGUUCUGAUGACUGAAAAGGAGUUGUCCACACUACAGAUGCACCAUGGUCUGAAUGUUUGUAUCCUCCCCAAAUACAUAUGCUGAAACUAAUCCCUAAUGUGGUGGUAUGCGGCAAUGAGGCCUUUGGUAGGUGGUUAGGUCAUGAGGGUGGAGCCCUUCCAAAUGGGAUUAGUGCCCUUAUAAAAGAGACCCCAGAAAGACCUCUUGCCCCUUCCACUAUGUGAGGACACAGCCAGAAGGUGCCAUCUAUGAACCAGCAAGCAGGUCCUCACCAGACACCAGAUCUGCCAGUGCCUUGAUCUUAGACUUCCCAACCUCCAGAACUGUGAGGAAUAAAUUUAUGCUGUUUAUAAGCCACUCAGUCUAUGGUAUUUUGUUACAUCAGUCUAAAGCCACCCUGGGAUGUAGUCAAAGCUUUGGGGAUGACAUUAAAAGGGCGGUGCCCAUGGCCUCCCGAAAUCAUACCAGGGGAUCUUGGGCUUAUCAGGCUAGUGGCACUCAAAACCAAGCACCCAACAGUUGGAUUUUUAUGGGGAUUCCACCUGCUAAGUGGAAUCCCUGGAGGGAGACACCUGGAGGAAACUAAUGAGCUGUUUUCAGAGUGCAUAGACCAAGGAGACUGGGAGUGAGUCUGGUGAGAACCCAUUGAAUAUGGGCCUGAAGGUUGGCAUUUGUAAAUUAAACCUAAAAGCUAAAAAAAAAAAAAAAAAAAAAAAAAGGUCGAGAAUACUUUGUGACUACUAGCAGCAUCAGCAUCCAACCUAGGAUAUCCUUUCCCCAAGCCACUCACUGACAUUUGAAGUUCCAGAAGUUAUGGUAAUUCCUUCAACUUUACAAUUGAGAUGCAGCUCCUGUCUCACCCCUCACCACCCCUCGGGAGCAGGGAGCUACUCAACAUUGAUAGUCACUUAUUCUUUAUUAUUACUGAGUUAUUGCUCCUUUCCUAGAAGACAGGGAAGUGAGAUUAUUGUUGGCAGGGGGGCAGUGGGCAAGACAGGAAGGAUCCCCAAAAGAAAGGGUGUUGUCAGCCGGGCGCGGUGGCUCACACCUGUAAUCCCAGCACUUUGGGAGGCUGAGGCACGUGGAUCACCUGAGUUUGAGACCAGCCUGGCCAACAUGGAGAAACCCUGUCUCUACUAAAAAUACAAAAAUUAGCCGGGCAUGGUGGCGGGCACCUGUAAUCUCAGCUACUCAGGAGGCUGAGGCAGGAGAAUCGCUUGAACCCGGGAGGCGGAGGUUGCAGUCAGCCGAGAUAGCGCCAUUGCACUCCAGCCUGGGGAACAAGAGCGAGACUUCAUGUCAAAAAAAAUAAUAAAAUAAAAACAUAAAAAUAAAAAAAGAAAGGGUGUUGUCACCAUGACUUUGGGAACAGCUGCUCCCUGGAUGUCCUUGGGCCUCCCUCUUGUCUGACCUGGCACAGGGCAAUCACCACUGGACUGAAGAAGUGGCAAAGAAGCCCACUAAACCAGUCUGAUGCUAGAAAGAAUGAAUCCUUCACCUCCCACAAUUCCUCCCUAAGGCCUGCCGCCCAGAAAAUAAACGCCAAAGGGAAGAAACAUUUCCAUUUCCGUCUAUUGACCUCAGAGCCUCUUCCAACCCAAUGUUUUGAUGUCACUGCCUGUAGGUGGGCUGAGUCCUGCUAUGACUGAGAGGGGCUGACCCUGAGCCAAAAGUGGAGGCCACAGCAGUUGACUUGCCUGCAGCUUUUUUGGGGACACUUAGGUUUCCCAAAGUUUAUUAGGCAGAAGGACAGGAGGAACAAAACACAAACUGGCCAGCUUUUUGGGGAGAACAGUAUGGUCAACGUAAAGUCAGGUGAACAAUCCUAGCCACAUCGGAUCAAUACAAGGGACAAUAAAAAACCAAAAAAUAUCUCCUUACUUUGUGGAACACAAUUCAGUGGAGUCUAACAGACCUGGUUUUGAAUCAGGCUCUGGAUGUAACCUAACAAUGUAACCUCAGACACGCUACUUAUGUUCUCUGUAUACCAGAUUCCUCAUCUCUAAAGAGGAGGUGAUGAUAGCAAAUGAGGAGAAACUGAAAGCUUUUCCUCUAAGAUCUGGAACAAGACAAGGAUGCCCACUUUCACCACUGUUAUUCAACAUAGUACUGGAAGUCUUAGCUAGAGCAAUCAGACAAGAGAAAGAAAAAACAGGCAUCCAAAUUGGAAAAGAAGAAGUCAAAUUAUCAUUAUUUGCAGAUGACAUGAUCUUAUAGUCAGAAAAAUCUAAAGACUCCACCAAAAUACUAUUACAACUGAUUAGCAAAUUCAGUAAAGUUGCAGGAUACAAAAUCAACAUACAAAAAUCAAUAGCAUUUCUAUAUGCCAACAGCAAACAAUCUGAAAAAGAAGUUAAGAAAAUCAUCCCAUUUACAAUAGCGACAAAUAAUUAACCAAAGAAAUAAAAGAUCUGUACAGUGAAAACUAUAAAACACUGAUUAAAGAAAUUGAAGAGGACACAAAAAAAUGGAAAAAUAUUCCAUGUUCAUGGAUUGGAAGAGUCAAUAUUACUAAAAGGUUCAUACUACCCAAAGCAGUCUACAGACACAAUGCAAUCCCUAUCAAAACACCAAUGACAUUCUUCACAGAAAUAGAAAAACAAUCUUAAAACUUACAUGGAACCACAAAAGACACACAACAAUCAAAGCUAUCCUAAGCAAAAAGAACAAAACUGGAGGAAUCACAUUAUCUGACUUCAAAUUUUACUACAGAGCUAUAGUAACCAAAACGGCAUGGUACUGGCAUCAAAACAGACACAUAAACCAGUGGAACAGAAUAGAGAACCCAGAAAUAAAUUCACAUAUCUACAGUGAACUCAUUUUUGACAAAAGUGCCAAGAAUAUACAUUGGGGAAAGGGCAGUCUCUUCAAUAAAUAGUGCUGGGAAAGGUGGAUAUCCAUGUGCAGAAGAAUGAAACUAGACCUCUAAGUCUCAUCAUAUACAAAAGCAAAUCAAAAUGGAUUAAAGACUUAAAUCUAUGACCUCAAACUAUGAAACUACUAAAGGAAAACAUUGGGGAAACUCUCCUGGACAUUGUAAUGGACAAAGAUUUCUUGAGCAAUACCCCACAAGCACAGGCAACCAAAGCGAAAAUGGACAAAUGGGAUCACAUCAAGUUAAAAAGAUUCUGAGAAGGAAAGGAAACAAUAAAGAAAGUGAAGAGACAACCCACAAAAUGGGAGAAAAUAUUUUCAAACUACCCAUCUGAUAAGAGAUUAGUAACCAGAAUAUAUAAGGAGCUCAAACAACUUUAUAGGAAAAAAUAAAAUAAAAUAAUCCAAUUUGAAAAUGGGCAAAAGAUCUGAAUAGACAUUUUUCAAAAGAAGACAUACAAAUGGCAAACAGGCAUAUGAAAAGGUGCUCAACAUCACUGAUCAUCAGAGAAAUGCAAAUGAAAACUAUAAUGAAAUAUCAUCUCACACUAGUUAAAAUGGCUUUUAUCCAAAAGACAGGCAAUAACAAAUGCUGGCGAGGAUGUGGAGAAAAGAGAACCCUUGUCCACUGUUGGUAGGAAUAUAAAUUAGUACAACCACUAUGGAGAACAGUCUGGAGGUUUCUCAAAAAACUAAAAAUAGAGCUACCAUAUGAUCCAGCAAUCCCACUCCUAGGUAUUUACCCAAAAGAAAGGAUAUCAGUAUAUCAAAGAUCAGUAUAUCUGCACUCUCAUGUUUACUGCAGCACUGUUUACAAUAGUGAAAAUUUGGAAAUAGUCAAAAUUCAUCUGUUGUUCAUCAACAGAUGAAUGGAUAAAGAAAAUGUACAGAUACACAAUGGAGUACCAUUCAGCUACAAAAAAAGAAUGAGAUCCUAUAAUUUGCAACAACAUGGAUGGAACUGAAGGUCGUUAUGUUAAGUGAAAUAAGCCAGGCACAGAAAGACAAACAUAUGUUCUCACUUAUGUGUGGGAGCUAAAAAUUAAAACAAUGAAACUCAUGGACACAGAGAGUGGAAGGAUAGUUACCAGAAGCUGGGAAAGGUAGUGGGGGAGUGAGGGGAAGUGGGGAUGGUUAAUAGACCCAAAAAUAUUAUUAGAAUGAAUAAGACAUAGUAUUUGCUAGCACAAUAUGGUGGCUAUAGUCAAAAAUAAUUUAAUACAUUUAAAAAUAACUAAAAGAUUAUAAUUGGAUUGUAACACAAAAGAUAAAUGCUUGAGGUAAUAAAUACCCCAUUCUCCAUGCUGUGAUUAGUAUUCAGUUCAUGCCUGUAUCAAAAUAUCUCAUGCAGCCCGUAAAUAUAUAGACUUGCUAUAUACCAACAAAAAUCAACAAUCAAAAAUUCAUUAAAAAAUAAAUAAAAAGGAAGUGAUUAUAAUGAUGCUACCUCACAGAAAUCUUAAAUGAAAUAAUGCUCAUAAAGUACUUAAUACAGGGCCUGGCACACAAUACAUCGUAUUCGUCCAUUUUCACACUGCUAUAAAGAAAUACUGGAGACUGAGUAAUUUAUAAAGGAAAGAGGCUUAACUGACUCACAGUUCCACGUGGCUAGGGAGGCCUCAGGAAACUUACAAUCAUGGUGCAAGGCAAAGGGGAAGCAAGGUCCACAGGGGAGCAUGGUCUCUUCAGCCUCACCCUCAGGUUCUCACCGUGGGCUCCACUGGGCAUCCAUAGGACCCUGCAGUUGUGGGCAAAACCGGGGAGACCCAUACAGACAUCGUUUUCCUUCAGUCAUCAGCUUAGGUGCCUCUUCCUCCAGGAAGCUCGCCUUCAUCUUCCCGGGCUGGUUUAAGGGCACUUUCCGUGCCAUGUGCUCAAUUCCUUGUGUCCCCACUAAACCUCAGAUCCCACAGGAGCAGUGGCGGUGUCUGCCGGGUUCUCGCUCUGUCUUCUGCUCUGCUAAGGUGCCUGGCACACCAUGCUCUCGAUCCCAGAUGAGUGAAUGAACUAAUGAAUGAAUGAAUAGCAGCACCACAUCAGGCUGCUCUCACAUAACCCACAUGGCUAAGGAGAGGUCUACGUUUUAUUUUUUAAGAAGGCAGAGCUCGAGGGGGCCUUGAAGUCACAUCGCCGGCUGCUGAGUCUACGAACAGGGAAGCAGCCGCAGUCCCCGAAAGGACCCGUCCCAGCGAGCCAGGGCCUGGUUUUCCUUCCGCAGAAGGCGGAGGGACCGGAGCGGGCGCGGGCACC